rnacentral:lncRNA from 1 species
ACUUCAGGACUUAUUGCAGAAAGAAUUGACUCAGGUUAUGCACAUAAUGCCAGAUAUAAAGCGGUAACACACAAGAGAAAAACUGUAAACACGUAGCACUGAACAAUGAUAAAAUAAAUAACAAACGAUAACACAAAUAAUGUUUAUACACCCAUAAUGUCAAAUUAAGCUGAUACAACUUCAAAAAUAAGCUCGAAUUUUGAAAAUUCCCCAGCAGAGUCGCCAGAGCUGUCACACCCUCUUUUUUACUCCAAAAAAUUAGAUUUAAGGUUUUGAAAGGGUUUUUAUGAUUGAGUGACAAAAGAAGAAAAUUUGUUUCAAAAAGGACUUUUAUAUUCAAAACUCAGAGUCGCCACUUGACAUAAAUCGGGUGUGCCAAGUCACCUUUGAACAUCCUUUUCAAAAUGAUUUUGACUCUAAAACUAAUCCGUGAACAGAGAUUUCGGCUAAGGAAUUUUGUUGACCGAGGGAAAGGUGUUAGGAAUCCCUCAAUUCCGUAGUUCGACAACGGUUGCUUAGUGGAUUAUAUCGGCUAAUUUAACACUACGAAUGUUCAAACCACACAAAAACAUGUAAAAAAACCAAACAAACAAACAAAACCAAAUGAAUCAAAAAUAUAGUGUCCAGUUCGAGUUAUACAGUCCCAAAAUAGAAAACUACGGAAAUGUAAAAUCCUAUUCUAAACUAAUUCUAGACUAAGCUCCAAUGCCUUACCCGAUGCCUCGGGCCUUCAUCACGAACGUCCUUCGAGUAAAAAAUACUCUGUGGUAUUUUCCGGAUAAAGCAAUACAAGUAUUUUGGGGUAUUCCCCAGCCAAAUGAUUCAAAUGAUCCCAAAGCGAUAAAACCAAAAACCAUUCAAUCACACAGUUCAAAUUUUCAACAAACCAUAAUCCCUAAAUUUGCCUACCCCCUAAUGUUUGCCUAUUUUUUGCUUCGACCUAACAUAACGCUACAAGAUUCACAAACUCGAUAUUAAUUCCUCACAACAACGAAACCAACAUUAAUCCAAAUUGAUCCUUUUUUAUCAAUUUUUGAUUCUCACCCCCAAAUAACCAAUUUCAACAAUGGCACAUUCAAUUAUUCAAAUCUCAGUUUAUUCAAUUAUCAAUUCAACUUUUCAAAAAUCGAAACUAACACCAAAUACAUACGCAUUAUAAAUAUUCGAACAUGUCAAGCACACGAAUCAGUCACAAUUACAUAAAUUAGCUGGAGAAAAAAUAGAAUUGGACCUCAAUGUUCCUUUUAUUCAAUCAACUUGAAUUGAUUUAGACAACGACGGAAGCCUUGGGAACUAAUGAACCUCGAAUAGACUCGAAUCAACCUUCCUCGGCCUCGAACUCACAACUCGAAUAAACCUCAAUACGAACCUUAACAGACUGACAAGACCAACAUCAAUCGGCGAAUUUCAACCCGAAGCCUGAAUUACCAAUUUCAAAGGAGAAGCUUAACUGGGUUCGAAACCCCAAAUGGGGUUGGGCUAUUUCACGACAAAGACGAAAAAGGUUGCUGGGUCGAGUAGUAAUGUCUUUAACGGAGCUCUGGUGAGCCUAGAUAGAAAGGGAGACGGAGAAAAUAGCUCAAAUUCUGAUGAUGGUGACGUCUUUUCGGCGAUAACAGACCAGAACAAUCUAAAAUCCACUGGAUUCUGCUGUUGCUGCUCAACUUCCUUAAUCAAUUGAUUCCCUCCUUAUCACCGUUCAAUCCUAUUUUCCAUCCACGGUGGGUGGGUGGGUGCACGUGAGCUUUUCUGAUGAGGUGUGAAUAUGGUGAUUGUCUAUUUGACAUAAAAAAAAAGUAAAGGGAUGAAGAAGAUAACCCUUUUCAAUUGAGAAUGUUCCCCUGUUAAUCAAAAAAGAAAAAUGAAGGGCCCUUUUUGUUGUCUGUGAUUGUGCGUAUAGAUGUGAGGAAGGGACUAGAAUAAUGGAGCCCUUUUUUUUCUAAUGGUCUCGCACUUUCCCUAUUACUGAGAUGUGUAUAUAUGUAAAUUUCUCCCAUGAAAGAUGAUGAAUUCUAUGCUUUUCGGUGAGAAUGAGUGUGUGAGGUGUAUAUGAGAAUUAAGAGAUGUAUGUGUGUGUAGUGCGUGAGGGUGAGAAUUAUGAGGGUGAGUUUUGUUGUGAUCUGAAUGGGGGAUGGGGUAGGUGGUUGGGAUAAAGUUUGUUAGGAUAAGGUUAGGGAUUUAUUAAAUUUUUAUUAUUUUCGUAUUUUUGUGGGACAUAAUCAUAUCGGUGAGGGCACGCAGUAAGAUAGGGGUAAAAAUGAAUAACUUGGGUCUUCGGGAGGGACAAAAUUAGGUGUUUACACUUGUAUUUCUUACCGUUGGGGUAUUUAUUUCCUGUAUUACUUGUAUUUAUUUCCUUUAUCGCACUAGCGUAGUCCAGUAGCUAUUUACCUUUCUACCCCUAUCACUGUUGACUUCACUUAUACUCUUGCAUUUUAAUUAGGCUUUUGCUAUAUAUUUUUGCUCAAUCGGACGAUGAUACCUACUGAGUAUCUGUUGCUUUGGUACUCAUAUUGUAGUUAUGUAUUUUUUCUUUGAUGCAGAUCUGAGUACGAGCCACCAAUGUUGAGGUGAUUCUCUAACCCAUUACCGAUCCGGAGUAGGGUAAGCUUUUUAGAGUCCCAGACUGAUCCUGAACAGUAUAGUCUUUUGCCUUUAAUACUACUGUAUAUAUAUUUUGUAUAUUUUAGAUAUUGUCUAGUACUCCUAUUUUGUUUUUAGUGAAUUUUGUACCAUUUUUAUCAGGUCUUGGGUGGGAUCAUCUAGUAUAUUUUUUCCUCUUUCUUCCUCCUAUACGGUAUAUUAUGUACGUAUGUUUCUUCGCUUCCGCUUAUGUAUUUAUUAUUGGUGCUUAUUAACUCCUAUUUUUCCUUUUUUUGGCCUGUUACUCGCUAUUUCGAGUUAUGGCUUGACUUGCCUGCUGAUGGGAUAGGGUAGUCUCCAUUAUGACAUGAGAAAUUGAAUCGUGACAUAGAUCUAAUCAAAACUCUCAAAAGAAAUAAUUGACUUCUUUUUACCAUUAUAAAUAUAACUUACUAUAUGGUAUUCGCGUUGCAACAUGCAAUGUGCUUGUACCUAGGAAAAGCAAGCCACAGUUUCAUACUCUCUUUUACCUAAGUUGGUUGGAAAAAACCUGCUAUAAGAUACAAAAUAUACUUGUAUCUCAGUAAAGUGAUACUGACUUUUUUUGUGGUUAAAGAAAGAGACUAAGAACAGAAAGGAAUCUGAACUUGUUCAAGAAAAGAAAAAUAUUUUGAGUUAAAGGACAAGGAAAUAAAGAAGAGGUAUUCAUCAAAAUAUAUGCUGUAAAAUUAAUGAGAAUCACUAUGAUAAUAGUGUUAUAUAGGUUUGCCUUAAAUAAUAGCAUAAAAUUUAUGAAAUACUUUUGAAAGAAGUAAAACUUGUGGCAACAAAAAAGAGAAUUAUCAAUUCUCAUAAAAUAAACCUUGAUUUUCCAGUGAGAUAAACCUUUAAUUUUAUUUGACUACUUCAAUUGAUGGCAACACGUUUGUUUCAUCUAAUUUUUCAAUUAGCUAUUUUCAAAAGGUAACUUGUAUAAAGUUAUACUCCGAAUUCUCUUACCAGAAGCUUAAACUCACCUUAGAAAUUUCAAACUUGCAACCAACUUGGUAGUGCCUUGCCUCCAUGACAUUGCAACCAACUUGGUAGUGCCUUGCCUCCAUGACGUUUCAUGGACUGAACACUUGCUAAAGCUUUUUCAACUUCGGCAAACUUAUGUUUUCAAUCAAUACUUAGAUAUCACUUCAACUUUUCAUUGAAAUCUUAGUCCUAGCAAAAGAUCAUCCGAUGUGAAACUUGAUGGAAGACACGUGAUUAUUUGUUCAUCAUUGUAUAUAGUGUCAUUUCUGUUUGAUUAGAACUUUUUUUUUUUAAUAGAAUUUUGAACGCUCUUCAAGAUUUAAUAUCCAAAUCAAAUACUACUUUCUUGUAUUCUUUGUUGAUACCUUUUCGGCAAGAAUUUGAAUUGUGCUUAAAUUCAAAGUACCAAAAUCAUUGUUGAAUUCAAUAACAUGAAUUGUUGUAGAAAAAAAAAAGAUUUUCAAUUUAUAAAAGUCCAAACUCUUUUUCCACAAAAGAAAUUUUCCCUAAAUAUGAAAUAUUUUUCUUUUUCUUCCAUAAAUUGUUUACCAUAUUAAAAAUAGGUUUCAAUUUCAAAUAAACUAAACCUACGUUCGAUUGUUUAAUAUUAGGAGUUUAGUUAUAAUUUCUAAAUAUUAGGAGUUUAUUACUGCAUUAUUCAAUUAGGAAAAUUGUUAAUAACCAAAAUCUUUAUUGAUUUUAAAUUUCUAAAUAUUAGAAAAAAUAGUAAAAAGACGAUUCUAUCUAUUGCGGAGUCUUUUUAAUGAAAGACAAAAAAUUCAAACAAUAAUUUUAAAGGCCUUCACACUUUUAAUAUAGUACCAUUGUCUCAGCACGUGUAUAUCAAGUCAUUUCACACAUGAUAUGUAAGAUAAUAUUGAAAUUUGAAUGAUUAAAUUAUAUAUGAAAAAUAAUGUAUAUGUUCUUAAUGAUCAACGUGGAUCAUUAUAUAGUGACUUGUUUUUUGAGUUGAAGAUGAUUGACUAUCGUAUAAAAUAACUAAAAUGGGAAAUCAAAGUUCAGUUCUUUGACUUUUAUCUUACUUUACACAAUAUUUGGACGAUUUUAAUUCCCUACCUUCUUGGUGUCACAAAAUAUUUUAAAUGUACCAAUUUUUAAGGAAAAAAAGAUAAGCAAAGAAAAUUUUUUUACGUGUAUGCCAAUGGUCAAGUCAUGUAAUGCAUACUUGUAAAACUAAGUUAAUGAUACAUAUUAUAUAAGCAUCAUCUACUUCACUAAGGUGUUCACUCCAGCAAGGAAGGGAUCUUGCCUUGCCUCUUGUAUAUCAAGAAUAAUAAUUGCAUGAUGAAUGUAAUAAACUCAAGUAGGUUAUGUUUGAAGACAAAUUUUGUAACUACAUCUGCAAUACUACUAAAAAAUUGGAAAAUUCACAACUUAUUUUCUUAAAAAGUUAACAGGUUAUGCAAUAUAAAUUAAGGGUCUAAAAACAUAAACUCCGGGAAAAGGUAUUUCCUCAAAACACCAAUGAAAGUAACACGUUCGUGACUAUGCCCCUUAAUAUCGUGCACAUCUAUAAUUACCAUCGCCUUCUCAAUAAUUUUUUUCGUCUUCUUAUUUAGCAAUUAUUUCUCUUCUUUGUUGUUUAAGAGAAGCAACUGCCUACACAUCUGUUUUAUUUUUAACCCACUAGCAUUGAACUGUGAGUGAUUUCUUCUUCCUCUUCUAAAAUCAUGAAUAUAUGUUUCAAUAUGCGCAAUCUGUCAUAAAAAAAAUCAUCAUUUGUUCCAGCUGUUAAAAAGUAGAUUCACUUUGACUCGAUCUUGAUACUAGUCCAUAAUGAUCAAAGUCGAAGCGUGAGCCUAUUACAGAAACCAAUUCAAUGAAGCAGGGACUGAUCGUCUUAUCAAUAAGCAUUCACAAAUUUUAACCCCAAAUCUUCUUUUUAUUUUUCUUCUCUACAAACGCACCAAAAUAUGAGUCUUCUUGAUUCAAAAUUGGCACAACAAUUACUUAAAUCAGUAAUGAAACUACACCACCACCAACAUACUCAAUGAAAUUUUACAAAGUGGGGUAUGACAAGAAUAGGGUACACGCAAACGCCAUCCCUGUCUUAUGGAGGUAGAAUGACUAUUUUCAAAAGAUGUUAGAUUUAAGUGUAGAAAAUAUAUCAAAGUUGUAAUGAAAAAGAAAAUAGACAUUAAAGAAAGCUUUGACAAUAACAGUGCAGAGCAUUCAUGCAAGGAACAUUAACAUCAACAACAUAGUGUGAGCACCUAAACAUAGUAAAUAAUAAAUGAUAACAUAUACCAGUUAUAGCUAGAAAAUAUAUGAAUAAGCCUAAUACUAUGACAUACAAAGUGUUCUAUAGACUACCACCAAGCCCAAGUAGACUACUACCAAGCAAGACAAUAAUCUGCUAACCUUCUAUCAGAGAUCUUCAUUUCUGACCUCCAUACCCUUAGUAAGAUAAAGAUGUGCUAUAUGUCUCAUAACCUCUUCUCAAUACUUGUACAACCUACCUCUACCUCUUUUCAUACCCAUUAUGUCCAACCUCUCACACCACCUCACUGUGGUAUCUGCACAUCUCCUCUUCACAUGGAAAACCAUCUUCGUUUUUCUUUCCUCAUAUUGUCCACCUCAGCGGUCACUCCUACUUUAUCCCAAUCAUCUCAUUCCUAAUCUUCGCUCCUAGUAUGGUCACAUGAAUUAUAGAAAUAUAUGCAACAAUAUAAAUACAAAAAAGGAAUUCAUUUGAACAAUCAAUCCCCCCAAAAAAACAUAUCAAUUAAGACACUUGAAAAUGGGAUAAGUAGUUACAUGGUUAAUGCCAUGAAACAAAAUUAAAAAAUAAAAUAAAUAAGUACUUCAUGUGUGCAGUUGCUAAACAGAAAAAAUAAAGUAUAAAGAAUUAAGUGUAUAUAUAUAUAUAUAUAUAUAUAUAUAUAUAUAUAUAUAUAUACAAAAUAAAAAACCACAAAAUCUAANNNNNNNNNNNNNNNNNNNNNNNNNNNNNNNNNNNNNNNNNNNNNNNNNNNNNNNNNNNNNNNNNNNNNNNNNNNNNNNNNNNNNNNNNNNNNNNNNNNNNNNNNNNNNNNNNNNNNNNNNNNNNNNNNNNNNNNNNNNNNNNNNNNNNNNNNNNNNNNNNNNNNNNNCAAAUAUAUAAGCAUAACUAUAUAUAUAUAUAUCUAUAUAUAUAUAUAUAUAUAGUAAAGUUAAAACCACAAAAUCUACGAUAAGAUGCUUUUAGAAGUGACUACGAAUCUACGCACAUAAAAAUUAAAAAAUAACAAUCCAUGUUUUGUGUAUGCUAAUUGCUAACUCAUCUUUUUUUGACAAUGAAUAACAUUUAGAACAAAAAUUGAUGCCAAGAACAACAUAAUAUUGAAAAUCCUUCGACAAUGUGAAUUUAUGAGGAUAACACAACCUCAACAAACUAUACAAUUUCCCUGCAAUGCUCGAGUCUCAUAAUUCGAUUUACUUCGGUAAUUCCUUAUUGGUGGGAGACUCUUAAUUGAUAUUCACAUUCGGUUGUCCAAAGAAAAUUUAGCCUUCAAACAAAAUGCAUAUAUUAUGUAAACCUGAUCAAGUAUUUCUUAAGAAACAUUAACCGAAGAGUACAAGUAUAAGCAAUUCAAUUUAUAAGGGAAUGAGUAAUUUUUUAGUUUACUGUCGGCCAAUGCACAUGCUAAAUUGAGAUCAAAUACUUAAAAUAUGUUUUUACGAUUUUUCCUACAAAAUUGGAGGACUGAUAACAUGUUUCCCACCUUGAAUAGUGAAGAGUUCACGCGAGUUGCCCUCUAACUUUGGGACCUGGUCCCAAACAGACUUAAACAACAAGAAACUAAACAGUAAAGUAUGUGCAAGAGAGAGUAAAGACACAACAAUUUUACAUGGAAACUCAUUGCUCAAUGGAGAAAAACCACGACUUGCCUUCAGAAUUUUCAAGCUCUAUAGUAUUCAAGCAACUUAAAUAAAACUCCAUUACAUCAAGGAUUAACCCUCUAAUCCUUCUUCUCCUAGUAGUAUCUCUAUUACAAAGAGAAAUUUGCAGUAACUCUACUGCACUACUACCCAGGUUACUCUAACCGAAUAAAAGCUAACUCUAGCUUUAAUAUCACCUAACUCUAGAUGAAAACAAGGAGUUUGAAGUAAAAAAACCAACACCUACUAAUAACAAUGAUAACAUUAGGAAACAUUUUUAACCAGAGUACAAAGGCUCAAAUACAAUAAGAAAAUGAAAUACAACUUUGUGAGCUAUUAGUUUCUUGUUACGAAUGAGUCUUUGAUCAAGAGCUUGGAGAAAGAUAUGUGUUGUGAGAAUAUGGAAGAUUGGUUUUCUUGUUGUGGAAGAUGAGUGAUAUAUAUAUGACACAAGAAAACCGAGGAUGAAUCCUAUUGGCUGGGGAAAAAGGGUUGCAGCAGCUUUCCACCAACCAUUGUAUUUUUGUCCAGCUGUGUAGUUGACUGUGAUAGCGACGUAAGGCCCAACAAGGUCCCUAAGUAGUUGCAUCUUUUUCAUCACAUAUUCUUCAGGAACCAGGUCCCAACAUGCAAAUUGUCAAUCAUCAAAACUAAGGACUUGACAAUUUCUCCCUUUUUAAUGAUGAUAAACCCAUACACGUCGUCAAUAUCUUCAAGCAUCCACACUAUACACAGCACACUUCUCAGCAACAUAAAAUCACUGGGAACCUCAACCUGUACCCCUUGUCACUGAUACCCCUCGUAUCCUCUACCUAUUCAUCUCAACCUGUUUCCUUUAUCUAUCAGUACCUAAGGUUCCUCCUGAGUGUGAGGACCUUUAUUUUUACCAAGCACCCUGCUACACCACCCUACUAUACCACAAAACAAUUUUCAUUCACCACCCUACUACACCACAACACAGCUAACACAGCUACACCAUAUCUUUCCCUUUUUGGCAUCAUCAAAGUGGUAAAGUAGUAAACCAAGCAUAGAUAAACGUACGUGUUAACUUAUGGAUAUUGAGGCUACACUUACAUAAGUAAGAAAUAUUAGACAAUAUAAGAGAGGAUAGCACAAAGUGGACUCAUGAAACAAUCAAGUAGACUAGUAUCAGACACUAUUUAGAAGAGUGGACAUAGUGAUGGAAGGUAACAACGCCAUUAAAGACAGAAGUCAACAGCUUAUGGAAAAACCAGAUAAAUCAGGUUUAAGACAUAAGAACAGGCAGGAUACUGUUCUAAGAAGAGGGUCCAAAAAAAGUUUGGGACCAGGUUCUUUGGUCCAUUGAAAACAUCCUUCUCUUCCCCUAUCCCUCAUCAUUAUUUAUUUUUUAUUUUUAUUCUUAUUUUUUUAUACAUGUUAUACCUGAAACUGUGGUAGACCUUUUAACAAGAGGUUGGGCUAUAACUACUCCCUUCCCUGCCCUUGUUCAAUUUUGAAGUAUGAAGGAGUAGAUUCUUAAUAAUGGGCAAAUAAGGGGUAAGAAAGGCUUUUAGACUUAAGUAAAGAUGAUAACUUUUAGAAGUAAGAGAGGAUAUAACACUUCUGUUUUGGAUGGAACUUAACCACAUUCAAGAAUAGAGAGUGAUACUAACAUGAAUAGAAAAUUGAUCCCUACAUAAUUUGUUGAGCACAUAACAUUGUAAGCUGACUCACCCUCCCUCCUAUCUUCUCCUCCUUACCAUGGGUGUAUAUCUGUAGAAGAUAUAAGAUUAAGUUAGACAUGUAUGACAAAAUAUGUCCUAGAUACCUAUUUGCCAAAUCAUAGCCAAAUUUAGAGGAUUAAGAGGAGCAACAUACUUUCAGCUUGGUCUUAUCAAUCCCAACUUUGUCCUAUUUCUCUCAAAUUGCUCCCUACCAAGUGCUUUUGUGAGAUGUCAAUAAUCUGAUCUUCAGCACUGCAAAACCAUCUUGAUCAACCCCUUUUCUAUAUUAUCUUUAAAGAAGUGAUGCCUGAUAUCUAUGUGUUUUGUCCUCUUAUGCUGAACUAGAUUCUUGGCCAUAUUUACAACACAUAUUUUGUCAUAAGAAAGAGGCACACAAUCUGAAAAAAUGCCAAAAUCCCCAAGUUACAACUUGAUCCACAAUAAUUUAACACAACAUAAGGCAACAAUAACAUACUUAGCUUCAGUAGUUGAAAGGGUCACUGAAUUCUGCUUUUUAGUACCCUAAAUAAUUAAGGAGGCUCCAAGAAAAUGAGCCAUUCUUGAGGUACUCUUUCUAUUAACUAGGUACCUGAUGUGUGAGCUAAUUCUAACACAUUUGAGGCUUUUAACUAAGAAUAAUUAUGAAGUCUUAAGCAAUUUUUAUCAUUUUUGAUUGCUUUAUGUUUGAUUUUGCAGUAGAAGCUAAGAUGCUAGAGAACCAACAAGAAUGGAAGCAAAUAAGCUGAAAUCUGAAGGAAAUAAAUGCGAAGUAUGAAUGACGAUAUUUUUGAUAAGUCUUCAGCCCUAUGAUAGCUAUUAGCUUCAUCGUCAGCAGUAACAGAGAAUUAGCCUAAGUUAAAAGCUGUGAUGACAUUUUGUGAUAGGACGUCAAGGAGCUGAUAGUCAUUAAAAUUGUUGUCAGCCUAAGGCAGAACAUAAGAGCUGAGGAAAAACCUUAACGACAUUUAUGAUAGGUCAUUAAUGAGCUGAUAGGCCAUCACCAUUUGUCAUCAGCGUUAGGCAGCGAGUACCAAAAGUAUAAAGAAAGAUGACGACAUUUGUGAUAAGUCGUCAGCCUCCUGAUAGGCUAUCACAAAUGGCGUCACCUAAUUUGAGGAAUUUAUAAAUUUUAUUAUUUUGUUUUCAUAAUUAGGGUGAACUAUUUAAAUCCUUGUUUAGAGUUUUCUUAAGAGUUCCAAACCUUGAGUUUUGAGAUGCGAUACUUUGAUAUUUUUCUCUUUUCUUUUGGCUUGAGAAAACAAUUACUUUAAAGAGACUAUCAUUACUAUUUUGGGAUUUUAUUUGGUGAUUUAAUUAGAGAAUCUCUAGUUUCUAUUCAUCUUUUGGUAAGUUCAUCUUUCAAAGCAUGAAUUCAUCUAGUUGCUUCGAUUAUUACGUCAUGAGCAGCUAAAUUCUUUUAACCUAAAUUAUGGGAUCUAGGGGUAGGUCUUGAUAAGGUGUUGAGUGUUUAAGAUUUGAAAGGUGGUAGGACUCCUUGAUAAUUUUGAUGUUUUAAUUAUUGCCUGUUGGUUGCAAACGAUAGAUAACACCUGCUUUGAUUUUCUUAAGAAAGAAAUCAAAUAUAGUGGGAAGUGAAUUAUCAACAGGGACUUGGAAACACUAAACUUCCAUUUAAUAAUCAACGCUGUAACAAGGUUGGUUAACCUGAGGUAAAAUCUGGGUAGUGAAUAUAAAUUCCCUGUCCGAGAGGAUUAGGUAAUUAAAUGCUUAAGUAGGUCGAGAGAUAUUUAAAUAUAACUUCGCUAAAGAUAACUUGUUGUCCUACCUACCGUGAGAAUCUUGAACCACUAGUAGUAUCUCUCUAGUACCAAAACCCCUAGUGAACAUAAUUUUGGUUUUUCAUAAACUCUUGAUUACAAACAUUUAAACUAAAGUGACCAAUAAUUACUUGUUAACUAAACCCCCCUUUUUUUUUUUCUGAAAACAUCCAACUAUUAGUUGAUUAAAUUACAAAUGACUUACGUUCACACUAUAUUCCCUGUGGGAUUCGACCCUAACCUAGUUGGGUUUUAUAUUGACAGCGAUCGCUUACAUUCUCAUUGAGAGGUGUAGUUUGAGCGUUAUAAAAAAUGGCGCCGUUGUCGGGGAAUACGGUUGAAAAUUGAAGUUUGUGUGCGCUAAUUGACUGUUAGUCAAGUUUCCUAGUUUUAUGUUUAUUUGUUGUUUUUGUUUAUUUGCAGGAUAUUUAUAGUGUAUGCCAAGAACCAGAAGUUCUGGAGAACUGUUAUUACCACCUAAUCUGGAAUCACAACGAAUUGGAAGAAUGACAGAACAACAAGAGACUGAUAGAUUGUCAGCCUUAGCUAGAGCUUAGGUGAAUGUGCAAAAUGUCGGGCAAUAAGCACGACAUCCAAAUCCUAAGGAUGAAGAUUUGGGAGACGAGGAGUUGCUGAAUCCUGGUAACCUAAGGCGUGCAGAGUAAAUAGCUUCACCAGUAUGGCGUAAUGUUAACAGGAACCCUAAGAAAGGCAAAAGUACUAGCCGGUCUAAUAUAAUCUCAAUGAUGAUGAUGAUGGAAUGGACGGAGCAGGUGCAACUAGUACAAUUAUUCCUCCACCGUGACACCUGGGGAAAAAUUCAACAUUACGAGUACUAUGAUUCAACUCCUAAAUCUGAAGGGGUGUUUGGUGGCCUUUAUAGGGAUGACCCGAACUUACAUCUGGUGAAUUUUGUCACCAUUUGCAAAUCUUUUGAUAACCUAGGAGUGAGCCACAAUGCUAUCCGUUUGAGAUUGUUUUCAUUGUCUCUGUCUGGGGAGGCAACAUUAUGGUUAAAUGAGCUGACACCUAAUUCUAUAACUAACUGGAGGUAGUUGAAAGGAUCUUUCCUAGAAAGGUUCUUUCCGUCUUCCAAGAUGGUACAAUUGAGGACGAGAUCAGCAACUUUAGGCAGCUCCCGACUGAAGCCUUGCAUAAAGCCUGGGAAAGAUUCAAGAAGAAGCUGACACAGUGUACGAACCACAACAUGACGGACAUACAUUUGAUGGAGACUUUGUACAGGGCUCUUAACUUCAUUGCAAAGCAAUUGUAGAAAAUGUUGCUGGUGGUUCAUUUGUUGAUUUUACAUUCCCAGAGGCUACAAACAUGCUAGAUAGAAUGACCAAAUAGAGUCGGGUAUGGCAUACCAGAGACUCUGUGGUGGCCAGCCCCACUGCAUCAGUAGGUAUUACUGUGAAACAAUGCAAAAGAGAAGAGGAGCAUGACCAAGACAUGGCUCACCUUAAAGCAUAGAUGGACUUCCUAACCAAGCACUUGCUAUCAGGAAAGAUUGAAAAUAUGAAAGUUAUGGGAUCUGAGGAUAGAAGUGAGGCUGAUGUAGAUGAAUAGGCUAACUAUGCUAAUAAUCAGGGGGUUUUUGAGGCAAUAGACAAGGGAAUCAGAGUCGGACUUAUUAUGAUAAGCCUGGUUAUAAAGAUAGGGAGCAAGGAAAUUAGAGGAAUAAUAAUGACAGAAGCUGGCUAUAUAUUCCUCUUAGAAAUCAUGAGGCUAUUUCAAUAAGUUCUAAAAAGAUGUCCAUAGAGGACAUGAUGGCUAAGUUGUUGAAGAGAGUGAAGGCUACCAACUUUGGUAUGACCACCAUGAAGACCGAUCUGACAUCCAUUAGUUAGUUGGUGCACUCACACUCCGCCGUAAUCAAACAGUUAGAGCAGCAGAUGAGCUAACUCUCUGCAACAUUCAACCAGAAGAAAAAUGGAAUAUUACCAAGUGAUACGGUCCAAAAUCCACGGAAUUAUGGCUCAUGCAUAGCUAUUACCACUAAAAGUGGUAAGAUAUUACAUGGUCCUUCUGUGGGCAAACCUGUAGUUGAUAAGGUAGUUGAUAUUAAACCAGAAUAAAGUGGUCCAGUGGAGUCUAAGAAGCUGGAUAAUUUUGAUGAUACUCCGAAUAAAGACAAAGAGAUGGAGAAGGAGGUAGUGCUGAAAAUUAUCCCAAGACAACCACCUCCAUUUCCUUAGUGGUUGAAGAAAAAGGUUGAUAAUGCAAAAUUCAGCAAAUUCAUGGCAAUGCUCAAGCAAUUAACAAUAAAUGUGCCUUUGGUUGAGGCACUUGAGCAAAUGUCAGGAUACACGAAGUUCAUGAAAGACCUUGUGACUAAGAAAUGAAAGGUUAGCCAUGAGCUGGAGGGCAAUCUCUUUCAUUAUGUCGCUGUCUCUACAAGGUCUUUAGUACAGAAAAAGGUAGAUUCAGGAGCUUUUACCAUCCCGUGUACUAUUAGGUCCCUGAAUUUCACAAAAGCACUGUGCGAUUUGGGAGCCAGUAUAAACCUAAUGCCACUCGCUGUGUACAAGAAACUGGGUUUGGGGGAUCCUACCCCGACGAACAUGCGAUUGGUAAUGGAAGAUAGGUUUGUAAAGUGUCCAGUAGGUAUAUUAUAUGAUGUAUUGGUAAAGGUGGACGACUUCAUUCUGCCUGCUGAUUUUGUAGUCCUAGACUGUGAGGUAGACUUUGAAGUUCCCAUCAUUUUAGGUAGACCAUUCCUUGUAACUGGGAGAGUGAUAGUAGAUAUGGAACUGAAUGAGCUGAAGUUCAGGUUAAAUGACAAGGAAGCAAGAUUCAAAAUACACUCAUCCAUGACACCAGCAAAGGAGAUGAGUGUUUUCUCAUUCGUGGACGUAUUCUAUGAAGAUGGUAAAGGGGUAUCAAUAGGUUAUCUUGGCGAAGUCUGAGUAGUCAAGAUAACCAAGUCGUGCCGUGACAGUAAAUUAGGUGCUAUUGGGAGGCAACCCAAAAUUUUUAUAUUUCAGCAAAUUGAUUAUUUUUGUAGUUAGGUUCUAGUUCAAAGAAGGUGGAAUCGAUAUAUCCCGCUAAGUAAUCCUGACGACAUUUUUUGACGAGCUGUCAUAAUUGUGAUUAGCCGUCAGCUCUGUCGUCAGAAACAACAGCUCUGAGGCAAUUUCUGUUAAGGCCAACGACAUUUGUGAUAAGGUAUUAAAAUUGUGAUGGAUUAUCAGAAAUAUCAUCACAAAAAUCCCAACAUUAGCUAAAACUAUGGGCCAAAUUAAAAAGACCUAACCCAGGCUACAACUUGGCCUUUCCACCUUCCCGCUUAGUUUUUAUUUCCUUUAAGUUAUUCUCUUUCCAUAUUUGGUUUAGUGUCUUACCUUUUCAAAGUCUCUCCAACUAAAACAAAAGAAAGUUUCCUUGUAUGUGUGGGUUUGCAAUCAAAAUCAAGAACCUCUCUUUAUUUUCUCUUGCUCGUGUACCCACAUUGAAGGCUCCCAUCAGGUAUACUCAAAACCUAGCCUUUCUUUUCAAGUGGUAAGUGAUAAAUUGAUGAAAACCCAGGUUCCUAAGAAUCUUGAACCAAAUUCUGCUUGAAAAAUGGCUAAAAAUUGGAACUAGGGUUUGCUGUGCAAGCUUAUGAUUUAAAAGUUCAACUUAAAAAUAAAAAUCGAGUGGAUGUUAAGAAAAAAAUGGGACCAAAAAUUGAGUUAAAAUCAAGUUGGUAUUCUUUUUAUAGCUGACGACAUUCGUGAUAAGCUAUCACAACUGUGAUGGCAUAUUAGAAAUGUCGUCAGAAGUCGAUAAGAAUUUUGUGGGUUCUAUUUAGGGCUGACGACAUUCAUGAUAUACUAUAACAACUGUGAUGGCUUAUUAGAAAUAUCGUCACACCUAGGACCUAAAGUAUUACUAAACCCUUUCGAGGGGUGUGGAAUUUUAAUGAUCAAUGUGUUUGUGUUUAUACUCUUGAGGGUCUACGAAUGGUUUUUCUCUUGCUAUAGGUCUUGAAAUUGCACCCAAGUGAAAGAACUCAAAAUCUACAAAGGAAGUGACCAAGGGAAGUGUAUCUCGGAGACUCUUCAACGAAGAGUCUGAUUAUAAAAAGGAAGAGCCUCUGCUCAAGAUGCAAAAGAAAAAGCAAAGCACUAAAAAGACUCCACUACCCUCACCAAUUAAGGUGGAGGAGAGUGAAAAAAGUGAAACUGAGCCAACAAUAUCUGAGCAUACAACUUUUGAGCAGACGAUCUCUGAGCAACAAGAGUCUGAACAUGCUAAAUUUAAAGAGCAUAAUUCAGAUCAUCCUGAUUCUGAGGGGAAUGAGUCUGGGGGACCAUCAAAUGAGUCCCCUUCUACUGAGCCACAAGAUGAUGAAGACUCUCCAAUUAGGGGAACUAUGAUCAAAUGUAAGAAUCAUGAAGUUCGAGAUGGCACUAGAUAGAAGAUUCCCAAAGUUCAAAAAAUCUUUUUUGAUGGGCUUCACAGAACGAACAUAAGAGGUAUCAAGAGGCCAAUCUUUGAGGAGAAGAGAAUCAUCACUAAGGGAUUGAGCAGGUACUCAGAGGUGGAGAAGAAAUUUCAUGGCUAUGAUUUGGGAUGGACUACACGAGGAGGAUAUUCAUUUUGCCCUACACUAGUUAUGGAGUUCUAUGCAAACUACCAAGCUCGCUUGGAAAACAUGUGUAGAGAAGGAGAGAAAGCAGCUGACCAACCUUUGUUGGAUAAAGUUCCGGUACGGGGCGUAAUAAUAGAUGUUUCUAAAGCAACAAUCAACAAGUUCCUUCAUGACCUGAACUUCACUCCCUAGGCUACUUCACCUACUUUCUAUGCCCGGUUGAAGCAUUAAAAAAAUCAGCGGAAUUGGUUAGCCACACUCAUAGCCAAUGGAGAACUAGAUGGCUAACAAAUUCGAGUGAAAGAAUCUUCAAGGCCUCCCUGACUUAAGAGAAAAGAUUUUGGUGGGGUAUUGUACGUACGUGGUUGAUGCCCAUAGAUGGUGAUAAUAUCCUCGGGGAUGACAGAGUAAUAUUAGUCACAAGUUUUGUGGCUAACCUUAAAUUAAAUUUUGGAGAGAUUAUCACUAAAGAGAUAAAAAUUUGAGUCUUGAGGACUAAUACAACAUAUCCCUUCCCUUGUUUAAUUACAAGGUUAUAUAGGGAAGAAAAUGUGCCAAAGAUUGUAGGGUUAGAAGAAGAACUCUUUGCCAGGAAGACCUACAAUCCGAUCUGAAAUGAGGAAAAUCAGCCAAGGCUAAUGCUUGACAGGGGUACAGAGAUUCCAACAGAUCUACCGAUUACAGGUACUAUUUCAACACCUAAUACAGAGGUGCCUGAUUUUGAAGCUGUACCUCCAACAUCUGCAAAAAUGGUAAAAUCAUCAGUGCCCAGAACUGAGACAAUUCCUCCAGCUACAGUGCCUACAAUUGAAUUUACCUUCAACUCUAUGAAUUUUAGGAGAGUAGUAAAGCAGUCCAAUUGGUGCGAGGCUCAGCGUAAACUCUUUGCCAAGUAAUUCACAGCUGCAGUUGACAAAAGAGUUAAGGCUGCACUUGAUCCUUACAAGGCUCUACCAGGCCGGAUUGAUGAAUUGGAGAACCACUUCAAUGCGCAGUUGAGAGAAAGGUUAGCUCCAAAGAUAUCAUUAUUCAAAUCAGACCUAGACAAAGUAAAGGCGAAGGUUGAAAAUCUAUAGCAACACCACUUUAUGGUGUUAGUAGAUCCAGUAGCUGAGGAGUCUGAGGGAGAAAUCCCAAUGCUUAAUCUCACAGAAGAGCUAAUGAAGAAAAAGAAGAAGAAAGGAGAGAAGAAAGGGAAAAAAAGAGAGAGGCUAAAAAAUGAUAAAGAAAGAAAAGCAAAAAACAAGGAAAGAAAGAAGUCUGAAAAGAAGAAGAUGAAAAAGGUGAGACUUGAGUCCUUAGUGGACAAUAAGAGAUGGGAGGCAGCCAUCUGACCGAGAUCCGCAUGUGCCUCUACUAGUAGGCCUUCAAAGACUGAUAGACCAGCUGCACCAGAACAGAGAGAGGCCCCUGAUGGAGAUACAACAAUAGGGUCAGGAACCCAAGACCCUCGGGAUUGAUCUAUUCCAAGUAUACUCUAACCCUUAGUUUAGAUUUUCUUUGAUUUUAAGUUGAGGGUGUAGGGUAAAAUUUGUUAUUGUAAAAUUUUGUAGUCAACUAGGAGAAAUACUUGUAAUUGAGGUAGUUGAAUUGUUUUUUUGUGAUUUUUGUACACCUCUUCAAGUAGUCUACUACUUUAAACUGAGUGAUUUGCAUUUAAGUGUGACCACCAUGCAUCUUUGUAUGGAAUUAGUUCUAGUAACAUAAUAAUCAUUGCUAAAUAGUUGCACAAACUGAAUGAGUAGUCGAGUGCGAUAUACCUGUGAGCCAAGUAUGUGUGUGAGAUGUUACUCAGUUCCCUUUGUAUGCUGAAGCCAGAACUUGCCCAGUUAGUCUUACCUAGGUUGAAGGAUAGGAGUUAGGAAAGGAUCAUAGCCCGUUUUAAUAUUAGCUCACUUUAGCCUAAAUGACCUUCCCUAUGUGUAUCAUAUCCCUUGAUCCCUGUUUUGAGCCUAAUUAGCCUAUUUGUUUGUAUGACACUUUUUCCUUCUCAUUUAGAUCAUAAUGAACCUGUUUUAGCCCUGGUAUGCUUUGACACUGUGCACCUUGACUUAGGAAAAUGACCUAAGUUGAGGGUGACUAUCAUAGGGGUGCAUGAUAUAGAAUGAGUAUGAAGAAAACUAGAAUAAAAGAAAAGAAUAAAAAGCCAGGUGCAGAAGAAAAGAGAAAGAAAAAGAAAAAUUAUGAAAAAAAUGAUUGUAGAAAAGACCGUACCCAUCCUGAAUAAGUGUGAUCAAGAAAAGAGAAGAAUAGAAAAAGGCUAAUGAGUGAAACCCUAAAAAACUAGUGUAGUGUCAAGGAGGUUUAGUCACUUUUAAUAUCACCGAGUAUCAUACCAGCCCCCAGCCUACAUUACAAGCCUAAGAGAAGUCCUAUAGUGAUCCUAGCUGACCUAUCUGAAGAUUUGGAUAAUGAAAAUAAGGGCAAGCCUAUGGUACUUGGCAUACACUGAUUGGAACUUCGUUUUAAGAGUGGGUGUUUUGACUGUCCCCAUGGUCACAUAUAUAAUUCCUGAUAUGAGAUGAAGGGGAUUUCAUUACUGUGAGGGUACACUGGUUACAUUGCUAGUUACUCACUUGUUUGGGUAGUGUAAUACUAGUCUAUGCAUGGUUGUUAUAGCUGAAUUGAUGCCAUAUCUUGAUUCCUGCGUGUUGAAUUGGUGUUCUUCAUUGUACUUGAAUUGACUGACUUUGUAGAUGGUGAAAGUGUUUUGAGAUGAUAUGGAUGAUUGACUGCCAAAUGUGCUUUGUAUUCUCUUUGUUGUGCUGAGUUACUUGAGGACAAGCAAUUAUUUUAAGUUGAGGGUAUUGAUAUGUGAGAUAAUGCUAACACAUUUGAGGCUUUUAACUAAGAAUAAUUGUGAAGUCUUAAGAAAAUUUUGUCAUUUUUGAUUGCUUUAUGUUUGAUUUUGCAGUGGAAGCUAAGAUGCUAGAGAACCAACAAGAAUGGAAGCAAAUAAGCUGAAAUCUGAAGUAAAUAAAGGCAAAGUGUGGAUGACUACAUUUUUGAUAAGUCGUCAGCCUUGUGAUAAGCUAUCAACUUCAUCAUUAGCAGUAGACAGAGAAUUGGCCUAAGUUGAAAGCUGUGACGACAUUUUGUAAUAGGACGUCAAGGAGCUGAUAAGUCGUCAAGAUUGCCGUCAGUCUAAGGCAGAACAUGAGAGCUGAGGAAAAGACUUGACAAAAUUUGUAAUAGGUCAUCAAGGAGCUGAUAGGUCAUCACCAUUUAUCAUCAGAAUUAGGCAGCGAGUACCAAAAGCAUUAAGAAAGCUGACGACAUUUGUGAUAAGUCGUCAGCCUCCUGAUAGGCUAUCACAAAUGGCGUCACCUAAUCCAAGGAAUUUCUGAAUUGUAUUAUUUUGUUUCCAUAAUUAGGGUGAAAUAUUUAAAGCCUUGUUUAGGGUUUUCUUAAAAGUUCCAAACCUUGAGUUCUGAGACACGAUACUUUGAUAUUUUUCUCCCUUUUCUUUUGGCUUGAGAAAACAAUUAAUUUAAAGAGACUAUCAUCACUAUUUUGGGAUUUUAUUUGGUGAUUUAAUCAGAGAAUCUCUAGUUUCUAUUCAUCUUUUGGUAAGUUCAUCUUUCAAAGCAUGAAUUAAUCUAGUUGCUUCGAUUAUUAUGUCAUAAGCAGAUAAAUUCCUUUAACCUAAAUUAUGGGACCUAGGGGUAGGUCUUGAUAAGGUGUUUAGUGUUCAAGAUUCGAAUAAUGGUAGGACUCCUUGAUAAUUUUGAUGUUUUAAUUAUUGUCUGUUAGUUGAAAAUGCUAGAUAACACCUUCUUUGAUUUGAUUGACAAGGAAAUAAAAUAUAGUGGGAAGUGAAUUAUCAACAGGGACUUGGAAACACUAAACUUUCGUUUAAUAAUCAGCGAUGUAACAAGGUUGGUUAAGCUGAGGUAAAAUUUGGGCAGUGAAUAUAAAUUCCCUAAGUCUGAGAGGAUUAGGUAAUUAAAUGAUUAAGUAGGUUAAGAGACAUUUAAGCGUAACUUCGCUAAAGAUAACUUUUUUUCCUACCUACCGUGAGAAUCUUGAACCACUAGUAGCAUUUGUCUAGUACCAAAACCCCUAGUGAACAUAAUUUUGGUUUUUCAUAAACUCUUGAUUACAAAUAUUUAAACUAAAGUGAGAUUCCUUUGGACUUUUUGAAAUCUCAGAUUACCUUGAGGGUUUUUUGAGAUAUCUUAGAUUCCUUUUUGAAGCCUUUAGAUGAGAUUUCUUCGGACUUGCUUGAAAUCUAGCACACAUCCUAGCGGUGCACACAAUGUCAGGUCUUUUAGCUUUUAUAUGGAGCAAUGAACCAAUGAUUCCUUUGUACAUAGUUUCAUUAACAAAGGGACCAGGUUUAUCUAAGUACAGUUUGGAGGAAGUUCCAAUAGGGGUAUUAAUAGGCUUUGGAUCCUCCAUAUGGAACCUCUUAAAUAGCUCAUGCAUAUAUUUCUAUUGACAUACAGUUGUCCCAGUUGCACCUUGCUUAAUUUGAAGCCUAAGAAAGAAAUUGAGUUGUCCUAUCAUACUCAUCUCAAACUCACUGCUCAUUAGCCUGUCAAACUCAUUACACAGGGAACUAGUUGUAGCUCCAAAUAUGAUGUCAUCUACAUAGACUUGAACUGUGAGCAAGUUUCUUCCUCCGGUCUUUAAGAAUAAGAUGUUACCAGUCUUUCCACUUUUGAGCCUAUCCUUCUGCAAGAACUUGGAAAGCCUCUCAUACCAACUCCAGAAGCUUGCUUCAAUCCAUAUAAAGCUUUCUCUAAUUUGAACACAUGAUUGGGAAAAUCAACAUUUUCAAAGCCUGAAGGCUACUUCACAUACACCUCUUCCUUGAGGAGACCAUUUAAAGAGUCACUCUUUACAUCUAUCUAAAAUAGUUUGAACUCCAUAUAUGAGGAAAAUACAAUGAAGAUUUUGAUUGCCUCCAUUCUAGCUACUGUAACAAAUGUUUCUUCAUAAUCUAUCCCUUUUUCCUGGUUAUAGCCUUGCACCACAAGACUAGAUUUGCUCCUGAUAGUAUUGUUAUACUCAUUAGCCUUGUUUUUGUACACCCACCUGGCCCCUAUAAUAAUUCUGUCUGAGGAUCGAGGGACCAGGUGCCACACUUUGCUUUUUUUCAAAUUGGUGAAGCUCUUCUUGCAUUGCAUUGAUCCAAGAUGCAUCUUUCAAUGCUUUCUUAACAUUCUUGGGCUUAAUUUAAGACAAGAAUGCAGAUAAAGCACAAAGAUUCUUUGCUCUAUUUCUAGUUUUCAUACAUGAGACCAGAGGAGACAAUAGAUUGUAAAGAGGAUGUGAGGACUGAUGCUUCCAACUAGAUCUGUGGGAAGUGGUAUGACUCUCACCGGGAAUAGUUCCUAUGAGAUGUUACUCUUAGGAAACUGAUCAUUUUCUUUGCUGAAUUGGGGAUCAUGUUUUACAGGGGAAGCUUGAGGGAGCAGUAUUUUGAUGACUUAUUAAAUUUUCAUCUUUAGGUCGUGAACCUAGUCCUUUGAGUUAGCAUCAUUAUCACUUUUAUUUUUCUCUUCAGGAACCUUUAUUGGGUUCCUUGAAUUAUUAUCAGGGGUGUUGCCUUUAGUGAUAUUACUAGCUUCAUCAAAUACAAUAUGAACACUUUCUUCCACACUUUGUGUUCUCUUGUUGUAGAUCCUGUAAGAUUUGCUGAUGGAGGACUAUCCAACAAACACUCCUUUAUCACUCUUUGGAUCAAACAUCCCAAGAUCAUCCUUUCCAUUAUUAAGCACAACGCACUUGUAACCAAAAGGCUUGAAGUAACUCAUCUUGGGUUUUCUUUUGGCCAUAAGCUCAUAAAGAGUCUUGUUCAGAGUAGGCUGGACGAUACCUAUUGAUCACAUGACAUGCAUUGUUAAUAGCUUCAACCCAAAAGUUGUGAGCAAUCCCUCCAUCUAUCGGCAUGGUCCUUCAAAUAUCCACUAGUAUCUUAUUUUUUCUUUCCAUAAUACCAUUUUACUAGAGUGUAUUAGGUGCUGAAAAAUUGUGAAUUAUACCCAGCUCAUUGCAAAAUUGGGUGAACUUGGCAUUUUCAAAGUCUGAUCCAUGAUCUAAUAUGAUUCCAACUAUCUUCUCAUCAUACAUCACUUACACUUGUCUAGCAAAAAACUCAAACAUAAGAAAUAUUUCUUCCUUGGAUCUUAAAAAGAAGGUCCAGGUGAAUCUAGAAUAGUCAUCAAUAAUAACAAAGAUAUACUUCUUUUCUCCCCUGCUAGAAAUCUUUGCAGGUCCACAUAUUCCCAUAUAAAGGAGUUGCAGAGGCCUGGAUGUGCUUACUUUUUUCUUUGGCUUAAAAGAGAAUUUGAUUUGCUUUUCUUUCACACAAGCAUUACACACCUUAGAGCUGGCAAACUUCACUUUUGGAAAACCUCAAACCAGGUCCCUUUUCACUAAUUUGUACAGAAUUGAGCAACUAACAUGACCCAACCUUCUAUGCCAUAGUUUAGCAGCAUCUUCUUGCACACUUAGGCAUAUUAUGUUCUUUGACUUGCAGGACCCCAGAUUAGCAAUAUACAUAUUCAUAUUCCUCCAGGCAGUCAACACUGCUUUUCCAUCUUUAAGACAAGUAACAGUACACUUAUUCGACAUGAACCUAAUUUUAUUUCCUUUAUCACUGAUUUGAGCCAUAGCCAGCAAACUAAACUUGAGACCAUCCAUAAAAUAAAGAUCAUCAAUUGCAUGGCUUAAACUAUUCCCAAUCUUUCCAAACCCAAUAAUGUACCCUUUGUUACCAUCAAUAAAGGAGACACUGCCUCCUUUAUGGGUCUUAAGAGAGAGAAAUUUUUUAAUUCUUCCAGUCAUGUGCUUCAAGUAGUCACUAUCCAUGAUCCAGUAGUGACUAUUUCCUUUAGAUUUUCCCAACAAAGAAAUUAGUGAUUAGUUUUGGAAAUCCAUUUUAGCUUGAGCUGCUAGAAUGGUAACAGAAGAAAGAUCAGAUUUUUCUUUGUCCAGCUAGGUAAAUUUCCUCUUUUUCCUUUUGUGGAAGAGAGUUAUUUUACUUUCCUUAUGAUAAAAAUUCUAGAAGGGCAUAAAUCCCUUAUAUGCCUAUUUUUUCCAUAAUGAAUACAUCAUAGAUUAUCCUUAACUGAGACAUAUUUGGUAAAACGAUUGUAAGCAGGAUAAACACUGUGAAAACCUAUCCCUGUUCUACUGCUUGAUCCUUGACUGUAAGGGUUGUCAAUACUUGAGAGGAGGUGGUCCAUUUUAGAGAAUUCUCAAGAUCGUCCUUGACCCAAACCAGUUCCCUCUCAAGUUUAACACUCCUCUCAAUUGAGGCAGUCAGAUCUACAUUAGCCUUACUCAAUUUCUCUUCUAGCUCAAGUUGAAUUUGACUUUUUUUACUUUUACCUUUUGAAUUAACCUUAUACACUUCACUAAAAUUUCCAUUUAAGGAAUCAUUUUCAAGGGAUAGUGACUUGCUAGUUGCCUGGAGUUCAACUACUUGCUCACUUAAUUCAACCACAUCUUCUCUACAUUUAUCAAAGUCUUUCUUCAGACAUUCCCUAUCUUUAGUAAUAUUAUUUACAGUAUAUAUGAGUACUGUAGAAAGAGACUUUAACUCUUUAAGAGAAUAAUUUUUGAGGUUUUCUUUGAUAUCCAAGAGGGUUACCUUGUCAUCUUCAUCAUCAUCUGAGUUUGUCAUCAAGGCAAAGAGAGAGUCAUAGACUUGGACAUCAUUCUCUACCACCAUUAUAGAGACAUCUUAUUGCUACUCUAAUUUAUUAAAAUCAUUGGAGAAAUCACCCAGAGUAGCUAUGACUUGCAUUGCAACCCUAUUAGCUUCAUCUUUUCAUCUAUACUUUGCCAAGGACCCCGUUGUGCCUCUUUAUUUUUCAUCACCUUACUUAACAUACUCAUUAUAUUCUAACUUAUACAGAGGGUAGUCUUUGAUGUAAUGACCAAGUUUUCCAUAUUUAUGAUAAUUAUAAUUUGCCCUACCUUUUUUUAUGUGUCUGUUGGAUUCUUUUUUUCUAGGUAGAUAGUGACGUCUAAGCUACACCUCUUCUUAGAAGGUGAUACAGUUGCUGCCAAAUGUAGUAACCCAACAAAGGUUGGGGUCUAAUCCCAUGGGAACAUGUGGAAUCAUGGCUCUCAGCUAUUGUAAUCAUCGGGCAUAAUUAGAAAAGUAAAUGGGGGGUUUUGAGUAUCAAUAUCGAACAGGUGACACGUAUCAACUUUGGUUGUAAUCAGUCGUAGGUGAACACUAGGAUUGUGUUCCCUUUGUCUUCUCAACUCCAUAGGAUUUUUGUUCUUUGUUGAACCAAUGCAAUACCUUGCAUGCAGAAUCUAUAAGUUAUGUACCAUCUAUAGUUUUUUGGACAAGCAGGCAGAUUUCACCCUUUACCUUUCGAGUCUUGGGAUGUCGCUUUACUAACCUUAUCUUGAUCCCAGUUAACUAUUACUUUUUGAGUCUCUAGCUAUUAUAUGAAAUCUAACCAUCUUACUUAGAUAACACCUAGUAGCAUGGAUCGAUAGUUAAAUUCCAAAUUACUAUUGUCAUUAUCUUUUCCUAGUCACUACUUCUCUUUCAGAGUAAGUAGCAAUAAUCUAGGUAGGAUCCUAACUUUUGAAACCACUAGAAUAACUAUUAAAGUGAAGAUAAUACGAUGCAUGCAUAUGUAUCAGUUUAGAAAAACAAUAGCACUUCCCUUACUUUGUCAAUCCGCUAGGGUUUCUACAACCCUAGCAAUAGGUUUUUAGUCGUUCAUGCUUGUGAAGUAAUCAACAACAUUCAUGAUCGAAAGCAUAGAUGAAAUCUCAAUAAUAAGAAUUAAAAAACCCAUAAUUGUAACAGAAUUAAUCAACUGAAGUUAAUACAAGAAAAUUCCAAGAUCAAAAUCAAAUCUUUGAAUCAAAAUAAAUUUGAGAGUAUAAAAAAUGUAUAACUUCCACUAAAAACACAUAAAGGAUAUUUAUAGUACGUGAGAAAACCCUAAAAUCAAAGACCAAAUGAAAUAGGAUAAAAAAGAGUUGGUGGCCACUUAUGGUCCCUACUUACGCCCUGUCCUUGGGCUCAGGUAGUACUUACGACCAGCAGAGAGGGCACUAGUGGCUACCGCAAGUGCCAGACCAAAAUUUUCUGCAAGUUAGCUCUCGGGUUUUUGGACUUAUGGCACUUGCGUUGCCCACAUGCGUUCCACAUGUACCACUUACAGUUUGCAUGUUAGCUUAGCAAGUGUCGGGAGUCAUCUUUUUAGCUUUUCUUCAAUUACCGCACAUGUUUUGAUCACGAACAAUCCAAAAAGUACCCCGAACAUCCAUAAUUGCUCCAAUAACUAGCCAAAAACACCUUUUUCAUCUUUUUCAUGAACUUAGCCUCCAAAACAUGGUUUACUGUAAAUCAUACCUAACACGCAUCAUAUCUAACAAAAAACCUCAGAAACUUACAUAUUUUCGUAGUUUUAAGCAUGAAAGUGCUAUAUUUCUAUAGUACAUCAACACCCUCAACUUAGAAUAUUUUCAUGUCCUCAAGCAAAAAAAUAUAACAAAAUAAAAACAACCCUUAACUAGGAGAAUCUAAGCUAUUCAAGGCAGUCAAUCAACAUUUUAAGCUCAAAACACAACACCUACUCCAAUCUUACUUUUCAAAACCAACUAUGGAUGAUCAUGAAGCACAACCAUAUGACAUAAUGGAAUCAAGGUAUAACAUUACAUUUACAAUAGACAACCAUGCAUAUGUACAAGUUACACUAUCCAAAACAAUCAAAUAACUAGUAAUAUGACUCAUGUGCCCUCACAACAAAGAAGUCCCAUCUCACUCAUAUGAAAUAAUGCAUGUUAAUGUAGGGACAGUCAAGAUACACUUGCACUCAGAAGAGAAGUUUCAAUCAAUAUGCAUCAACUACCAUAGGCUUGCCCUUAUUUUCUUUACCUUAUGUAAUGCCCCAUAAAAAUUUCCUCGCUUAAAUUCAUCCUUAGAGUGUUAAGGGAUAGCUUCCAAAAUAAAUACUAUUUAUUUGGUGUGGAAUUCCUUAGAUUUGGACUUUCCAUUAUGUAGGAAAUUGAAUUAGCUUUCCAGUGAUAUAAGAUUUGCCUAAAUCCGAGAACUGAGUAAGAAGUUAUGACUAUUUUAAGUUCUAAUCGUAAAACACCAUGAUUUGGGACCUUAGCGCGUCGCAGAGAAGCAUAAAAUUACAAUUGUCAAUUUCCAGUGAGACUCUGUAAUUUUAGGGUAUCGUGAAGAGGCUCAAUUUCCCAUUUGGCAAUAUUCAGUGAGACCUCGCGAUACCGGCGCGUCACAUUUGUGGUCAAAAUGAUAAACUAAAGGUCUCCGCAAUUGUAGUCGGCUCUACUCCAACUAGUAGUAUUUAAGUCGGAAAUUGCUUUCACAUCUAAUAUGACAUCUGUACCAACAUACAUCUUCGGACACCAUAAGGUAAGUAGCUACUCCAGUCGAUCUAACUCUAGAGGAUCCGGUAAAAUAGCAGUAGCCACAGACACCAUUCUCAAUCAACAAGGUCAAACUGGUUUAUGUAUUUAUGUAGCUAGGGCAAAAGCGUCUUCUGUGGCCUAGGUAGUAACGACUUUACAGGAAAGGGGAGCGAUGGAAUACAUUACUGUGGUAGCCGAAACGAUGGAUUCCCCUGCUAGCGCAUCGCGGUUGAAUCCCAGUACCUGCUCGUCCAUUUUCAAUGAGCCACCACGAUAGUGGCGCAUCACGAUGGCCACCCAAAUUGGGAAAAUGUACAUUUUCCGGUUUCGUAUAAACGUUGAAAGGGGAUAUUUUGGUAAAUAUCCAACCCCCAAUCCGUCCAAAAAUAAAAGAUUAAUCAUAUUUCAAGAACUUUAUGCUCUUUAUUCACCAUUCUUUUCAAAAAUAUAACCUUAGAAAUCCAAAGCUCCUUUUCCAAGAAACCCAAAUUCCUCCAUUAAUUUUCCAAGAAAAUUCAAGACUAAGGAUUCCCAAUAUAUGAACUCUAAGAAUUCAUCUCUAAAGCAUCAAUAGGAAUCCAAGAUUUGAGUUUCUCAUCAAAUAUCAUCAAUUUAAGGUAUGUGGGGUUUGAACUAGGAUAAUUCCUUCAUCCUUGUGCCCAAAACUUUACUUUAAUUACAAAUUUACUACAAUUUAUGAGAUUUCCCAUGAAAUUUAAGUUAGGAUUUAUACCCAUUAUCAUUAUUUGCAAGAUUAUGAAAUUUUCCAUGAUUUAGAAGUUGAAUUACAUGAUUAUAUUUAUAUUUCUAUGCAUUGUCAGAAAUUUUUCAGAUUUUAUGGUGAAUUAUAAGUGUUUACAUUAUAAAGCAUGAAUUUUUAGAUGUUUUAAUGUGAGAUUAAUGCAUAGGUCAUUAAGCCCCAAUUUAAGAUUAUUAUUUCAAGAUUAUUUGUGCUAUGAGCACUCUCAGAUAAGAUUACUCACAGAUUUUGACAAGGAUUUGACCUUAUGGUCCUAAGAUAAGAUAAGAAUCCACAUUGUUCAGAUAACUUGAGAUUUAAAGAAAGGAAAGCAUAAUUGGGUUUCUUGUAAACUUUUGUGCUAUUUUUGAAGUGAAUUUCUUAAGAUUUUGAGCAUAAGAAUGGGAGUAGUAUUUAGCACUGAGAUGGGUAGGUUACUAAGGUUUCAGACCCCAUAACUACGUGCCAACGUAGGAUUCAGAUUUAUUCCCACUUCUACGUGGAUUACUCAGAUUGUGAUCACUAAGAUAGAAGUUCAAUUUUGAUGGAAAAGGUAGAACAACCCUACUUAAUCGGGGCCAAAUGUGGGACUCCAUGGAUGCUCACAUGGUGUAUGUCGGUUAGAAGAACCUCCAAAAAGAUGUCCCCUACUCUUCAGUAGUUUAUUGAUUUAAAUCUUUAAGAGAAAACAUAUGUUUUAAAGUUAUGGUUUUAAGAUUCUUAAGCUUUAAGAUAAGUAUUUUACAGAUUUCAGAACUAAGUGUAAUGGCUCACUAGAUUUACGUUGUAUGUUUUAUCACUUAUAAUUUAUGAUCUUCAGAUUUCAGAUUUCUCAAGCCUGUGUGAGUCAUUUACAUUUAGCAUGCAUGAUUUUAUAAACUGUAAUGAUAUUGUUUACUUAUUGCAUGCACCUCCAUAUAUUCAGUACAUCCUCCAAGUAGUGAUCCACAUAUAUAUCUAUGUGCUACAUUAUCUCAUAAUAUAGGUUUAGGUGCUCAGUCUCAGUAGUGUAAGUGUUUUCCGAGCAUCUUAUUUACAUCCCUACAGUUGGUGAGUCCUCAUAGUUUAGGGACUUAGUUAUUCAUACUCUUAGUUUAUUGGUAGAUGUUCCUUUAUUCAUUUCAGACAGUUUGAGUCAGCUGGGGGCCUGUCCCAGUGACUCUCUAUAUUUAGAUAGUAGAGGCUUGUCGGAUUACUAGAUUCAGUUUUAGACAUUUGUUUCAAAAUUCAGAUUUUUAGUAUUGUUUUACCAAGACUUCUAGCAUGUUUCAGAUAAGAUUUUUCGCAUUAUUAUGAUUUCAUUUUCAUAUUUCUCAUAUGUUGAGAUCCAGACUUAGUAUAAAGCAGCCAAGGUUAGCUCAGUACUACUUGUAGUUCAGAGCACCGUGUGGCAUCCUAUAAAUAAGAUUUUGGGGUGUUACAAACUUAGUAUCAGAGCCUAAGACUUAGGAUGUCCUAGGGAGUCAGACAAGCUGCGUUACAUAGAGUCUUGAUCAUCAGUGUAAAGCAUGCCGCAUCUAUGGUCAAGAGGCUAUGGAGCAUUUUAGGAAAUUAUCUUUUCUUUCAUGAUCUAUCGUGCAUUUAGUGUCUCUAUUUUCUUCUAACUCAUGCUUUCAUAUGAUAGAAAUGCCUCCUUAUUGAGCUAACGCUCGCAGAAAUAAUAAUCAUCCACCUCAACCUACAGAUGAUAAUCAGCCACCUCAGCCUGUAGACCCUUUGAAUGAGAAUGUGUUACAUGCAGAGUUUUAGGCUGCCUUUCAGGUACUAGCCCAAGCUGUGAUAGAUAAUGUUCAAGGCAACCGUCAGGACACACUCUCACCUCAGUAAUAUAUGGACUUAUCCACGACCAGGAUAUGACAUUUUAUGAGAAUGAACAUGUUAGAAUUCUUUGGGUCGAAAGCAGAUGAGGACCCACAACUUUAUCUAGAUGAGGUAAAGAAGAUCACCCAAAUUAUGCAUAUUUCUUAAGAGGAGAGUGUAGAAUUGGCAUCCUAUAGGCUAAAGGAUAUUGUAUAUGAUUGGGUGAUGAUGUGGAAGAAAUGUAGAGGAGAGAAUGCAACUCCCAUGACUUGGAAGAUAUUUCAGAAUGUGUUCUUAGACAAAUUCUUUCCACCUGAGAUGAGGAAGCUAAAAUAGAAGAGUUCAUGAACCUAAAGAAAAAUGAUAGUGAAGGAGUUUUUCCUCAAGUUUAACCAGUUGUCUAAGUAUACCCCUGAACAGAUGGCUGAGCUUAGGUCAAGCAUGAGUAAGUUUGUGACCAGUGUGUCUGGGUUAGUAGUUAAGGAGUGUAGGACUGCUAUGCUUAUUGGAGAUAUAGAUCUUCCUAUAUUGAUGAUGCACACUCCGCUGAUUGAGGUAGAAAAGAAGAAGGAAAGAGAGAGAGCAAAUUAGAGGGCUAGAAUAGGGCAAUUUGAUUAUGGUCAUAAUAGGUUUGGAGGAGAAAAUCAUUUGCAGUUUUAGAAUCAUUCAUCUAUGCCUACACCUUCUUUAGCCAGUGCUUCUGCACCCAGAAAUAGGUAAAAAUAGUAGGGUAAGUCUUCUAUGUCCAGAUCUUUGAAUAGUGUGAGUAGGAAGCCUAAUCAUCCCUUAUGUGCUAAGUGUGGUAAGAAUCAUAGAGGUGAAUGUAUAUGGGGCCAGAAGGGUUGUUAUGGUUAUGGCCAGUAGGGUCACAAAAUCAAAGAGUGUCCAUAUGCUAGACGAGGUAAUAUAGAUGUUCGUCGUCAGACUCAGGCUAAUAGUGCACCAGCUCCUCUAGGUCGCCCAGCUUCUCCUCAAGGUGCAUCAUCUAGUACCGGUGGCGUUCAGCACCAGAAUCAGUUUUAUGCCUUACCAUCCUAUCAAGAGCAGAAGGAUUUACCCGAUGUUGUGACUGGUAUGCUUCGUGUCUUUCAUUUUGAUGUUUAUAUGUUCUUAGACCCUGGGUCGAGUUUCUUUUAUGUGACCCCAUUAGUUUCUGUGAAUUUUAAGAUAAAUUCUGAAAAGAUCCCCGAUUCUUUCUUGGUUUCUAUGCCAGUAGGAGAGUCAAUUUUUGCUAAGCAAAUUUAUAAAAAGUGUCCUCUCACUAUUCUUCAUAAGUUCAUGUUAGCAGACCUGAUAGAGUUAGACAUGAUUGAUUUUUUCCUUGGUAUGGAUUGGCUCCAUUCUUGUUAAGCUUCUAUAGACUGUCGCACCCGUGUGGUGAAGUUUUAGUUUCCAGAUGAGCCAGACUUUGAGUGGUCAAGUAAUUCAGUUUCUCCCAAGAGUCAUUUCAUAUCUUACCUUAAAGACAGAAGUUUGAUAUCCAAAGGUUGUAUUUAACACCUAGUUCAAGUUAAGGACACUAAGUCUGAGACUCCAACAAUAUAGUCCGUUCGAGUGGUCAAUGGGUUUCCUGAUGUUUUUCUAGAAGAUCUCCCAAGGGUACCUCCAGAUAGAGAGAUAGAAUUCGGUAUUGACCUUCUCCCAAAUACUCAGCCUAUUUCUAUACCUCCUUAUCGUAUGGCUCCCACAGAGCUUAAGGAGUUGAAGGAGAAACUCAAAGAUCUUCUAGAUAAAGGUUUCAUAAGUCCUAGUGUUUCUCCAUGGGGCGCUCCCAUCCUAUUCGUGCAAAAGAAAGAUGGUUCUUUGGUUAUAUACAUCGACUAUCAUCAGAUAAAUAAAGUUCAAUCUAGAACAAGUAUCCUCUUCCUAGAAUUGAUGACUUAUUUGGUCAAAUCCAAGGUGCAAAUUGUUUCUCAAAGAUAUACCUUAGAUCUGGCUAUCAUCAGCUUAAGAUAAGGGAAUGUGAUAUUCCAAAGACAACCUUUAGAACCCGUUAUGGUCAUUUUGAGUUUCUAGUUAUGUCUUCUGGGCUAACCAAUGCCCCAGCAGCUUUCAUGGACCUCAUAAAUCGAGUGUUCAAAUCGUAUCUAGACAUGUUUGUCAUAGUAUUCAUAGAUGACAUCCUUGUGUACUCCCAUAGUGAGGAUGAACAUAUAGAUCAUCUCAAAGUUGUCUUGCAAACUCUUAGAGACCAUCAAUUGUUUGCCAAAUUCAGCAAGUGUGAAUUUUGGUUAAGAUCAGUAACCUUUCUUGGUUAUAUUAUCUUCGCUGAUGGCAUUAGAGUCGAUCCCCAAAAGAUAGAUGCUGCAAGGAAUUGGCCUAGACCUAUCUCUCUGUCAAACAUUAGGAGUUUCUUGGGUCUAGCUGGUUAUUACCGCUACUUCGUUGAAGGUUUCUUUUGUAUUGCAUCUUCUAUGUAUAGAUUGACCAAAAAUAAAGUUAAGUUCCUGUGGUCAGAUUCCUGUGAGAAGAGUUUUCAGGAGUUGAAGACUUGACUCAUUUCAGCCCCAGUUCUAGCAUUACCUGAUGGUACAAAUGACUUUGUUGAUUAUUAUGAUGCCUGUAGAGUUGGUUUGGGUUAUGUGUUGAUGUAGAGUGGUAAGUUCAUAUCCUAUGCCUCUAGACAGUUGAAGCCUCGUGAAAAGAAUUACCCAAUUCAUGAUCUUGAAUUAGCUGUUGUGGUGUUUGCUUUGAAAAUUUGGAGGCAUUAUCCGUAUGGUGUGCAUGUUGAUGUGUUCAUAGAUCACAAAAUCUUGCAAUAUGUGUUUGAUCAGAGGGAGUUGAAUCUCUAUCAGAGAAGGUGGUAGGAGUUGUUGAAGGAUUAUGACAUGAGUGUGUUGUAUUAUUCGGGAAAGGCCAAUAUAGUAGAAGAUACUCUUAGUAGGUUGUCUAUGGGCAGUGUUACUCAUGUGGAGAAUGAUAAGAAAGAGUUAGCUCAAGAAGUUCAUCAUUUGGCUAGAUUGGGUGUUAGGUUUGUUGAUUUAGCUGAAGGGAAUGUUUGGGUUCAGAGUAGUUUUGAAUCUUCUCUAGUUUCGGAAGUGAAGGAGAAGUAAGAUAAGGAUAUCAACACAAACUCUAACUUCCUCCAAAUUUCCCAUGUAGUGCUUCACUCGCUUCCCAUUUACCUUUAAUGGGAUAUCACCAUCACACUUUAUUUCUGUAGCACCAUGUGGGAAUACCUUAACCACAAUGAAUGGUUCAGUCCACCUAGAUUUUAGCUUGCCAGGAAACAAGUAGAGUCUUGAAUUGUACAACAAGACUAAAUCACCAGGUACAAAUACUUUUUUCUUGAUCUUCCUAUCAUGAUACAGUUUUAUUCUUUCUUUGUAUAUAGCGGAGCUCUCUAAGCACGGAGUUAGAAUUUAUCCAACUCAUUUACCUUGCUCAACCUCAAGUUUGCUGCAUCACGACACUCAAAAUUUAGCCUUCUUAACACCCAUAGUGCCAUAAGCUCAAGCUCAACUUGUAAAUGGUAUGCUUUGGCAUAUACAAGCUGAUAUACAGAGGAACCUAUAGGGAUCUUAUAGGUUGUUCGAUAAGCCCACAAUGCAUUCAGUCCUGUUGGUAUUCACAGUGUUCGCCAAUAUCGACUUUAUCUCUCUAUUGGAGACUUCCACUAAUCGAAUAGUCUGAGGAUGUUAAUGUGUCAUCACCUUAUGCCUUAUACCAUAUCUAUCAAGCAAAACUUUGAACAAGAGGUUGCAGAAGUGAGACCCACCAUCGCUAAUAAUUACACGUGGAGUGCCAAAUUGAGAGAGGAUAUUUUUCUUCAAAAAGGCAGUGACCCUUCUACCUUUAUUAUCUGGAAGCGCAACUACCUCCACCCAUUUCGACAUAUAGUCAACCGCUACUAGAAUCUAUCUCAUAGAAGCUCAUAAAUGGGCCUAUGAAAUCGAUCCCCACACAUUAAAUAACUCCAACUCUAGAACAGGUGUCAUGGGGAGUUCAUGAAGCUGUGAAAUAUUGUCUUGACGCUGACAUUGGUCAUAGGCUUUCGCAAAAUCAUGAGAGUCCUUAUAAAUUGAAGGCUUGUAAAACCCACACUACAAAGUUUUAUGGGCGGUGCGUGUGCCACUAUGAUAACCCCCAACUGGUGAUGAAUGAUAGGCUUCCAGAGUGCUCAUCAUCUCCACCUCUAGAAUAUAACUUUGAAUCACACCAUCAGCAUAAAUCCUAAACAAAUACUACUCAUCCCAAAAGAACUUCCUUACCUCAUGCAUAAAUCUCCUUCGUUGCUGGAAGAAAAGAUCUUCUGGGACCACAUCACUUGCCAAAAAGUUAGGAAAAUUAACAAAAUAGGGUAUUAGGUCUACAUAUGCUGCUAAAACCUGCUCAUACGGGAAUGUAUCAUCUAUCUCAAUAUUAUCCCCUAGUCUCUGCAUUACCUUAUCCGCAAGCCUGAAUAAGUGAUCUACAACCUAAUUUUCUGUCCUCUUUCGAUCUUUUACUUUAAAAUCAAACUCCUACAAUAAGAGAACCUAAUAAAUCAAUCUUGGUUUGGCAUCUUUUUGCCAUCAGGUAUCUCAAGGUUGCAUGGUCAGUGUGAACUAUGACCUUGUUCCAAUCAAAUAAGACCAAAAUUUCUUAAAAACAAAUACAACCGCAAGGAGCUCCUAUUCUGUAACUGUAUAAUUUUUUUGUGCUUUGCUAUCAUAGUAGAUGGGAUGCAGUAUCUUUUCUCUUCUUUGACCUAGAACAACUUUCGAGGCCACUCCACUCGCAUAACACAUUACCUCAAAAGGUGUAGACUAGUCGAGUGACAUAAUGAUGGGUGAUAAUUCUCAACCUGCUUCUAUGUUUAAGGGGUAAGGCGGUCAUUGUCAUUAUUCCAACUCGUAUUAGGGUCGAAUUCACAGGGAGUGAAAUAUAAAUUUCAAGUCUUAUGUGUGCUCUAAUUACUAAAAAGAUACCCGAAAUGCAAGGAAAUAUAACAUAUAAUAAAAGUGAGGGGAUUUAGUUUGUAUUAAUUCUUGAGUUAUAACAAGCUACAAUGAUAGUUUCGGUUUUAAAAUCAAGUUUGGGGAGAAUCUUGAGAUUAUGUCUUCCCAAAGGUAUUAAGUGUGUAGGUUAGAGAUGGUUCAUCGUGAUAUCUAGUUGUUGAGUGAAAGAUAGGCUAGUUAGAAAGUCUUUGCAGCUAGUUUUUCAACUAAACAUGAAAGAUUUCACCUAUUGGCUCUUUCGAGCACCUAACAAGUGUGCCAUUCAUAGUCACCCAAUACCCCAAUUGGGCAUUCCUAUUUCUAGAAAGAUACCCAUGACAUGACUUACACUCCAUUUACACUUAUUUCUAAGAUUGCAAAAGGUAGUAAACCACAUACUUAAUUGUCCACCAUUGCCUUGUCCCACUAUAGCCCUUUUUCAAGGAUGCUAUGGGUUUCCAUGGGUUCACCUUCAUCCGUCUUUCAAGGAUGAUGUAGGUUUUCUAGAUCUUGGGGUUUUAACCCAUCAAACCCAUUUGGAUAUAUGGGAUUUUUACCCAUAAAAUUCCAAUUAUUAAACUCAAGCAAUGGUGAAAUCCAUACUCAACAACUAGAAAUCAUAUGAACACAUCAACAACCACGCACAAAUACACUUUAGUUCAACAUAAUCCUAAGACUAAAAUACUUAGCUACCCAUGAAGAAAGUAGAGAAAGAUAUACCAUAAGGAUUAUCAAAGCAUCUAUUCUUUAAGAAACACUAAGAAUUCAAGUCUCCAAAAUUAGUUACUAUCUUUCCCAAUUAGGGUUCUUGUUUCAAAUUCAAAAAUAUUUAUGAGGUAAGAAAUACCCAAAGAAGAAAAGGUUUUUUCCUAUAUAAGGUUUAGGAUUCGGCCAAGUGAAAUUAUCAAACUACCCUGGGCAACAUUCUUGCUUAGCCGCAAUGGCAUGACGUUGUCCGCGACUGCGGCCAAUGCGACCGCGGUAUGGUUUCAUGAUCUCAUUCUAUUGACCAUCUUGACUGACUGUGACCAUAGCCUUUGGCUCGUGAUCGUGGUAACUGGGGUUGAUGACUACUCCACGUCUUCAACUGCACUUCUUUACUUCACUUGAUCUCUUUUAGCUUCAAUCCACAUCUUUUCAUCUCACCAACUCUAUGCCUGUAAAAUAUGGAUAUUAGUGCAUUAAAUUACAAUUAUGUCUCAUUUAUUUAUACAAAAUUUGGUAGUAUGCAUGAAAUUUGAGUCCAAAUGAGUGGUAAAAUCACUACUCAUCAACACCCCCAACUUAAAACCUUGUUUGUCCUCAAGUAGCACCACCCCUUAUCAUGAUACAAUUUCACAUGUAUGCCCACAUUCUAUUACCCAAUGAUCAUGAUGACUUUAACUUGAUUAUUACCACAAAAAUUUCUUCACACAUGAGCAAAAUGAUUUUGACUACACCCUUCAACAUAAAAUGGAAUAUUGAAGGACGCAAUAGACUUUAAGGAGAAACCAUGUAACAACUACUAAUACUCUAGAAAUGACUCACUUCUUGACCUCAACCACAUUAUACUUCCUUUUGUCUCAUUGUUCUAAGGGUGACAAAUUCACCCACCUCAACUUGAUCACAUACCUCCUCACAAGAAAGAAGAUUUUACACACCUAGCUAUCAAUCAUGAAACAAGGAAUUUAAGUGCAUGCACUCGCUCUCUCAAGAACUCUCAAUGCUAAUAAGUACCAUUCCAUAGGCUUGCCCCUAUUUUCAAUCGCCACUACAAUGAUCACAUUUGGUUGGGAAUCACGAAGGACUUUUUGAGCUUGUAAUGUAGGGUUAGGGUAGGGUAGGAUAUUAAUUUCAAAAAACAAGGUUAAAACCCUCCUUGAACUUAUAAAACACAAUCUUUUCAAUUUUGAUAUUGGGCCACUUCUUUUCUUUCACUAUUGUGCCUACAUUGCCUUUCUUGGUUUUCCAACUUUCUUUCCACUUCUUUUUUUUUGUUGUUGUGCAUAAUUCAUGCAUUUCCUUCCUUUGUUGGAUCUUUUCUUUCUUCUCAUCAUUUUGCUUUACAUGAUUAAGGAUGUCAGCAUUUUCUUAUAACUUUGUGGCCCAACGAUACCUCUUUAAACUUUCACCACCUAUAACUUAGGAUUUCAAAUUUCAUUCUUAAUUUUAAGGAGGAUAGGAUCAAGAGAGGGACAAUAGAAGGGUCAUGACUUGCAAUGUGUUUCCCAAAGAAAAGUCCAAAGGCUCAAAGUGGAUGACUAAGGAUUAUAUCUAUGUAUUGGUAGGAUUUUUAGGCUAUAGUGGGCUUCCAAUGUCAUAAGAAUGGCCUAGGAUCAUUUUACCAACCAAAUACAAUCAAAAUCUAACCUUGGAAGACUAAUGGGGAAAGUUCUAAAUGGUACAAGUUCACAUGAGAUAUAGACAAAUAAGCUCCUACACAUGAGAUGUAAUUCUUGUCGAGGGGGUUCAAUUAUUCCUCCCGCUUGAGACAAAUAAUUUUCCAAAGUCAAUUUUUGGAGUCAUAAAAAGAGAAAAAGUUUUUUUACAAAGUUUCUCAGAUCCACGCCCUUGAAUUUUGCAAAAAUAUUGGAUGGGGUGGGGGGUGGGGUAUUUGUUUUGUAUUCUCACCAUGCAUAAUUUAUUAAUCAUGGCAACAACCUAAGCUCUUGUCUUACAUUAAGGCUUUCAUACGGGCUACCCACCCAUAUGGCUACUUAGAAUUCGUGAAUGGGUAUGAAUGCGAUCCCAAAUCAACAAUGCUACAGGUACUCAGACUUCUCUCGUACUUGUGACCUUGAUGCCACGGGUACUCGGACUUCCCCUACAUCUUUGACUAAAACCCAAUCAUGAUACUUUCCCCUUAAGAAUAUCAUCACUCAGUCUAUUAUAGGGAAAAACUCAUCAAGUGACCAAAAUUAAAUAAAAAAACAAUCUAGGAACAAAGUAACUAAUCCAUCCAAAUGUAGGCACCAUCCGAGUGCCUGAAUAUUACAACCCAAAUAAAAAUAAGGAUCAUCUAAAAGAUAAGAAAAAUAUGUAGAAAUAUCAAUAAUAUAGGUCCAAAUCAAAUGAAUACGGCGACAGGCAACCCCAACUUAAAAGGUAGUAGUGUCCCCACUACAUAAAUAAUCAAGGAUAAAAGAGAUAAGAGUGCUCCCUGAAACUGCAUCAAGGGCUGCUUUUACUCUCAUAUUUUGCAUCAUCAUCAUUAUCCUCAAGAUCAGACCAAUCGAUCGAGGCAUCAUAAUCACUCUCCACCCAGGAAGAAUGAAAUUCAAUUUUGGGGUUUUAGGAUCUUCCAUAGGCCCUUCAUCCCCUUUCACAUCUUGUUAAAGAACUCAUCCCUCUUUUUUUCCCUUAUAAACAUAUUUUCAUGUGCAAUUCAGAGAUAUUGAUGUGAUUUUACCAAAAAUGAGUAGGCUUUCUCAAGCCUAGUAAUGGUAGCUUCCUGUUUUCUUUAGUCCUCUCUGUACUUCUCAUAAUCGGACUAUGAUACAUAUGAAUGACGAGUAGUAGAGGGCUCUCCCGAUCCCUAGGAAAACCAGACACAAGCUCCUGACGGCAAUAAUAUAAACUCAAAUAUCCUCAAGAGGACUGGUGGUGAAUGGCCUAUGAAACACAGGCUCAAUACAUGUCGACUUCCCCAAGUCGAUCGUUUUCUUCUUGCCUUUGCUAGGUGCACCCUCCCUUUGAAUCCUCAAGGGGUAGAUGGGGGUAUAGGGCACACCCAAGUAUCUCCAACAUACUUCUCAACCCCUGCCCUUUUACAAAGAUUAGUAAUCAAUGAGGCAAAUAAGAGAUGUGUACCACCUUGGUCCUUAAAGUGGUCCAUUUCAUUAACCAUGAGCUCACUAACAUCCAAAGGAAUUUUAUCUAAAAUGCAAAGAACCAUUCGAGCACGUGGAUCUAGGACUGCUGUCAUGUAGGUGCAAGGGGAGACUCGAAUAUAUAUAAUGUGCAACCAAAUUUGAGCCUCAAAAGUAAAGUCAUUCAUGGAGAUGUUGCUUUUUGUUUUCAUCCACGAGACUUUCUUUCUGGAAUGCAAUCUUUCCACCAACCAACUUCCCAGCUUACACCCUUUUGCUUUGAAUUCCCCCAUGACUGCAUGUGAGAGCCUAUAAACAUCAUUGAUUUGCGUCUCCCUAAAAUACACCCUUUUCCCCUGGAUUUAAUAGUCAUGUUGGAUGGAUCUAAGAAAGAAACUUUGAUAAUGUUGGCAUAGAAUUUACGCACCCAUUGCUCAUUUGCAUUGGAUGGAGCCGGAGCAAAACACCGCCACUUUGUAGCCUCAAUCUUGUCAUGAAAUGCUGGAAUUUUUUUCUGCACAUUGUCCAAGCAAAUUCUACUCUCUGGGAGAAGCUUUGUCCUUGAAAUAUCACCAUAAUAGCGAGUGUGGCACUCGGGUGCCAUGAAUCGGAUACGAUCAUAUUUGUCCAUGAGAUAGUCCUAAAAGUACUAGGAACACAUGGCAUUAAUCAAUGACAAUUUUACACACAAAAUAUGCCAUACUGUUCACCAAAGCUCAUUGGAUGGGCAUUUGGUGGUGUUUGGAUAAAAACUGGAAGUGCAGGAUUUUUGGUAUGGCAGAAAACUAGCCUCGGUUACUACGAUCGCGAGCCAUAACUGUAUUCACAUUACUGCAAUUGCGGUCCACUGAUCGCGACUACGAUAACUAAGGUUGAUUUCAUACCAGAUUUUCAUGUUCAAAAUAUCCCAAAUUUUUAGACCACUAGCAGGUUCUACAAUAUGGAUUCACAUUAAGACAAAUGAACAAGGCUACUAGGUGCUCAAUUAUACCCUUCGAAUACAAAGAACGUUAUUGAUAACAUCAUUCAGGCAAUAUAUCGGUCACUUGAUGUGUACACUCCAUUUUCUCCAUUUUAUACAUAUUUGUGGGUACUCAUGAUUUCCCCACUCAUGUGAACACCAUAUUCUAGUAGCAAAACAUCACAUAAGUACCAAGUAUGAAAACAUGGAAACAUGACCUAGGCCCUUUUAAAAAUUAUGGAAACAUCAUGCAUUCUUUUGCCUAUUUUCAAAAAUCAAAGCAUGAAUUUAAGGCACCUACUGGAUUUGUGAUGCAAGAGAGAUACAAGGGUGCUGUUGGAGAGCUCAUAAACUUGGCCAAAAUUUGGUCCAAUUAGAGAGUAAGGUUUAAAAAGGGAGUGUGAGGGAAAUAGGGGAUGCAACUAGUCACAUAGCGGAAGCAACCAUAAGGUUUAAAAAGGGAGUGUGAGGGAAAUAGGGGAUGCAACUAGUCACAUAGCGGAAGCAACCAUGAUUGCAGUUAAGUGCCCAUGAUCGCAAGCAUAUGGGUGGCCGCAAUUGUGACCAAGGGCCUACGAUCGUGGUAACUGAGAGCAUUUUUGCUCCCCGUUUUUCCCUAUUCAACUCAAUUCACAAUUCGAUAGCUUUUCCCCUAUUCAGUUUUUAAUACAAAAAUUUUAGACUUUCCCCUUUUUAAGCUAAUCCAAUGCACUCUAUAGUUCCACAAAUGCAUGAUUUAUUGAAAUGCCAAAACCAAAAUCUAAGCUACGACAUCAUAAAGAAAGGAUACGAGCCAUUCUCGUGGAAUUUGUGGGUUGCCUCCCACACAACGCAUUAGUUAAUCUCAUGGCAUGACGUCCUCUCUUUUUAUUCUCAAGGAAGGUCCUCAAGCCACCCUUCUUUCACCUCCUCAAUCUCGAUAUCCACCACAGACACAACUUGAAGCUCUACGGAUUGCUUCUUCAUCUUACAAAACCUUGAAAGUGACUUCAUCCUCUUACACCCUAUACUUUAUAUCCCCCAUUUCCAAGUCAACAAUGGCCUAUUCGAUGGCUAAAAAUGGAUGACCAAAGAGAUGGGUACCUCGUGGUCCAUUUCACAAUCCAACACCAUAAUAUCCACUGGGAGUAUAAACUUGUCCUCUUUGACUAGGACACCAAUAAAAUCACCAGCGGCCUUUUGAUAGACCGGUCCACCAUUAAGAGUCACAUGGAUGUUGGGGUAGGAGCAUUCAAACCAAGCUUCUUGUAGAUGACAAAGGGCAUGAGGUUGAUACUUGCACCAAGGUUAUAUAGAGCUUUUGUAAACACAUUGUUCUAGUGGUACAAGGAAUUUUAAAAGAUCUGGGAUUAUCUUUCUUUUUUGUAAUCAUACUAUCCAUGAUAGCACUACCACUAUGGCUGACUUUAAUGGUGUCACACUCUAUAAGGUUUUUUUUCGACAUCAAUUUCUUUAUUAGUUUAGCAUAUCCUGGGAUCUCUUGGAUUGACUUAAGCAAUGGGAUGUUUAUCGAUAGAUUGGUAAGCUUGGCCAUGAAUUUUUUUAUCUUUUCACCCUCCUCAUUUCUUUACAAUCAUUGAGGGAAUGGGGGAGGAACUUGGAUUGUAGGUCUUGUUUCACUUUGUGGCUUUUCAAACCCAACCACUUCUUCAUCAUCUUUCUCAUCAUCUUCUUCUUGAUUUUGAGGUAACACCUCCUUUGGCUUAGCCUUAGGCAUCUUCCCACUCAAGUCUCCUUUCAAGUGCUCAUCAAGUGUCUUCCUAUUUCUAGUGACAAUUGCUAAGACUUAAGCGUUAUUCUUUUGAUUAACAAUUGUCUCACUGGGGAGUCUACCUCUAGGCCUAGCAUUUAAUUGCGUGGAGAUUUUCCCAAUUUGCGUCUCCAAUUACUUGAUGGAGGUGGAGUGGGCCACCACGGUUUGACAGAGUUGAGAGAAGUCACCUUUCAAUUCACGAACCAUCUUGUCCGUACCUUCCACUCUAUUCAAAAUUUGGGCCAAAACAACCUCGGUCUUGAACUUUUUGGGGUCAAUGGAGCUUAACUCUUUGUUCUUACCUCAAUCAUGGGGAGGCAUAUAGCGGUCAUAAUCACUCACUCUAUCCCUGUAAACCACUAAGCCAUUAAUACCUUCGGGCAGGGUCAAAACCAAAGCAGAAGUCAAUUUAUCCUUCACCUUCUCAAAACUCCCCCCAUAAGCAUCAGACCACAAAACCUCACCUUAUUCUGAGUCAUCUUAGUCAAAGUGAGGCAAUUAAUAAGAAGCUCUCCACUAACCUCCUAUAAUAACAGACUAAACCUAAAAAUCUUUGACUAUCGAUUGGAAUCAUGGGUAUAGGCCACUUUUUAACCACCAAAACCUUUGUGGAUCUACCAUGAUCCGUUCACUAAAAGCAAUAUGACUUAGAAAAAUAACAGCGUUCAACCAAAAUUCACACUUUGAAAACUUAGCAUACAAAUGUUGUUCCUUAAGGGUCUGCAACAAAAUACAGAGGUGAUCAACAUAAUCCAUCUCACUUUUUGAAUAUACCAGAAUAUUAUCUAUAAACAUAAUGAUGAAAAAAAUCCAAAAAACUGAUGAAAUACUCGAUUCAUCAAGUCCAUAAAUGCCCCUGGGCAUUGGUCAACCCAAACGACAUGACCAUGAACUCAAAUGACCAUAUCGAGUAUGGAAGGCAGUCUUAGGGAUAUCCUCCUCCCUAAUCUUCAACUAAUGAUAGCCUGAACGGAGACCAAUCCUAGAGAAAUACUUAGCACCCUGAAGUUGGUCAAAAAGGUCAUCAAUCCUAGGAAGAGGGUACUUAUUCUUCAAUGUUGCCUUAUUUAACUGACGGUAAUCUAUACAUAUUCGAAGAGAACCAUCCUUCUUACAGAUGAAAAGAAUGAGAGCAACUCAAGGAGAGAUACUUGGGCAGAUAAAACCUUUCUUAAAAAGAUUUUUCAACUGCUCUUUAAGCUCUUUCAACUCAGCUGAAGCCAUUUUAUAAGGAGAGAUAGAGAUAGGAUGAGUGUUCGGGAGAAGAUUAACCAUAAAAUCAAUUUCCCUAUCGAUAGGAACACUAGGAAGAUCAUCAGGGAAGAAUUCAGGAAAUUUAUUAACCAUAGGAACGGUUAUAAAGAAGGACUCUCUGAGUUACAGUCGUUAACCUAGACUAAAUGAUAGAGACAACUCUUGGAAAUCAAUUUUUGGUCUCUAAGAUAUGAUAUAAACCUCCACUUAGUCAUUAGGGAACUCCUUUCCCGCUCUAUAAUCGAUUUCUUAGGAAAAUUAAAAAUGACCUUAUGGGUCCGACAAUCUAAAAAGGCAUAGCAUGAAUGCAAAGAAUCCAUCCCCAAGAUAAUAUCAAAAUCAACCAUGUCUAAUUCAAUCAAAUACACCAAAGUUUCCCUACCACCAACAAAUACCUCACAACUCCUAUGGACUCUUCUAGAAACCAUAGAGUCACCCACUGGGUUGGAAAUAGAAAAGAAGUCAAAAAUACACGCAGGACUAAAACCAAAAUACACAGCCAUAAAUGAAGUCACAUAAGAAUGGGUAAACCCCAAAUCAUGUAAAUAGUACAAAUCAUAAGAGAAGAGUUUUAACAUACUAAUGACGACAUCAGGAGAUGCCUUAGACUCCUGAUGAGUAGAAAGAGCAUACAAAUUAUUUCGGCCAGUGUCAGUACUAGAAGUGGCACCCUUUAGUGCAGGAGCCAAUGACAUGGCAACCAGAACAUUACUUGCCCACAAAGCAACCUUACCCACAGGAAAAUCCCUCCGCAUUUGUCUUGGCUGGCCACAAUUGAAACACUGGUCCCUUUCCUCAUCAUAGAAACCACGAUGCAAUCCACCACAAAGUCUGUAAGAAGGAUGUGAUAGAGCUGACUAGGAAAAACUGGCCUACUAUUGGGAAUCUUGUGCCUCUGAACCAUCAUCUCCAUAAAAUCAACGAUCUCUGGGUGGCUUUGGAUAUGGUGCAAUAGCCGUUAAAUAAGAACUAGAGUUGCCCCACCUCUUCUUAGACCAUUUUCUACCACCUUUGCCACUUUACUACUGACAUCUACCCUGAUCCAAAUACUGAAACAUCUUACUCUGCCUCUCCCCCAUCUCUCCUUGCUUCUUAUUUUCUUCUUCCAAUUGUGGUAUAUAAUCAAUAAUUCUAGAGAUGUCUAUUUACUUAUUCAACAAGGUUGUCUUACUCUCCAAAAUUAACUUACAGGACAACCUAGAAGCAAAUUUCCUUAUUCUAGCCCUCAUGGUAGACACUAGCUCAGGUGCAUAUCAUGAUAAUUUGUUGAACUUUAAGGUAUAUUCUUUCAUCAUCAUCCUUUCUUGCUUUAAGUUCAUAAAAUCCUCAGCUUUUGCUUUCAUUAAAUCCUGAGGAAAAUCGAUCAAAAAAAGCACUAAAGAUGUCAUCCCAUAAAGCAGGCUCAAUAUCAUCACCCUUAAGCUACUCCCACUUUUCAUACCAUAGGUAUGCUAUAUCCUUCAAUUGAUAAGCAGCGAAUUCCAUACCCUCUAUAUUAGUAGCAUGAAUAACCUAUAAUAUCUUCUCUAUCUCAUCUAUAAAACCUUGAGGACCCUCCUUAACCUUAGUUCCAGUGAAAGUUGGAGGCUCAACCUCAUAAACUUUCCAACUCAAGUGGGCUCAGAUGAACUCCCAGUUUUACCAGGAAAACCUAUAUUAUAUGACUGAGACAUCACUAACUGGGUCAACAGAUGAAUGGAUUGGCAAAACUUAACAUUAUUAAUAUCUCCCUAAGAACUGAGUAUGAGUAUCACCAGUUAGAGAUAAAUCAGUGGAGAUAGAUGGAACUCCAUGGGGACAAUUAGAAGUAGUGACUUUGAUUGAGUUUGUACCCUAUACAAGGGACGAUAUCCGCCCACAUUAUCCCCAGGUGAGAUAGAUGAGUUUCCAUGAGCUUUAGAUCAUCUAGAAGGCAUAAUCUGAAAGGCAAAUAAAUAAAAGUUGGACGAAUAUAAGACCUUAGAUUCUAUAAACCAAAAAUAAGACAACAAGGAAAAGAAACAUUUCUAAAUGUCUUGUAGCCUCUGCUUUAUAAGUGUCGCACAUUGUUUACCCAUAAAAGAGACUCUACUUGACAUGGCUUUGUGGACACCCAAUUUACCCUGAACCUAGGUAUUGUUUUGCGAAAAUUUAACUUUAGAGUCUCCACUUAAUUUAUUUGAAAAAAAAUUAAGAAAACCUUUGAAAGUUACUUAAAUGAUCCAAAAUGAGAAAAAACCCAUUUAAGCUUGAAGAUUAUGAGUAAGCGGUUCCUAUUAAUGUUUUAGGAAGGUUUUAAGGCACCUAAAACGUUUGCUAACUUGCGGUUAUUUGGACUAUUUGAAAAUAUCUUUUGACUAACUUCAAAAACAUUUGAUUGUUGAAGAGUGAUUGAUUUUAGGAAAAACUUGGGUAAAAAUAAAUUUGGACGACUUAGUAGAGAUUUUAACUAAGUCUAAACAAACUAAUAUCAAAGCAUGUAAAAGGGUGAGGGGAGAUAAUAAAAGACUUAGGCCAUUUGGCCAAAAUCAAUAGCCGCUAACCUAAUAUAAUUGGGAUUUUGGCUCACUUACACCCAUCAUAAUCUAAAUGUCGGGCCUUGACCUAUAACUUGUCCUAAUUUUUUUUCAGGCUCGUUGACCCAAAAUCUGCUCCACCUGUAUUAAAUUUACAACUUUGGCUUCGAGGCCUAAAUAAAUAAAUAAAUAAUGAAAUAAAUGAAUAAAUAAAUAGAUAAAUAACAAAAGAUGACAAAAAGAGGUAAAUAAAAUAAAAAUGAGACUUUGAAGUCUCUUAACUGCUUCAAAGAUGGAUUUUAACCCAUUCUUCUCCUUUUGACUCUUUGUAUCCAUAUGCCAUACGCUCGACUUUGGACUUAGUUUUGAUGCAAACUUGAGGAGAUGGGCUUCAUUGGCCCCUAGAAUGCAAAGAAAGAGGAAAGUCCACUUGGACCUCGAACGGAUUUUUCAUGCCAAAUAAAUAGGAGGAUUAGAGUUUUAUUUGUAAUAAGAAUGAUUACUUUGAUAAAAUAAAUACGAAACACAAUUGAUUCAAACCAAAUAAAAUCUUGAACAAGUUCAUACUACACGUGGGAUUGCACUUCCGUACUUCAAGUAAUCACAAUUAGGUAUAAUUUUCUUACUAAUCCACAAUACUAACUCGAAGCAUUUCACGGUUUAAAAGUGCAUUCCGAAAGAAGAAAAAUAAAAUGAUAGAGGCAUAUAGGGAAGAAAAGAGAUAAAAUUGACAUGGAAGUUAGUAAAACAAUCACCAUUUAGACUAUCAAAAGCAAGACUUACAAAUCAAUUCAUUCUUCACAGGGAUAUCUUCAUACUUGCUCAAACUACAAUGUUGAGUACUAAAGAAAAAUAAUGAAAGCACCUCACAAGUUCAUUAAAACUUCAAAUCAGAAUAGUCCUCCUAGGAAAACUACGAAAAUGAAAAAGAAAAAAGAAAAAAGAAAUAACAGCAGCACCACACUUAAAUAAAUUGAUCAAAUUUCUACAGCAGCACCACCAUACUUAACAAAUUAAUCAAAUCACUACAGCAGCACCACACUUAACAUCAUAUACAAAAAUCAAAUCUCUACAGUAGCAGCACUACAUUUAAGGAAUUAAUCAAAUCUCUACAACAACAGUAUCACACUUAACAUCAUAAACAAAAAUCAAAUCUCUAUAGUAGCAGCACUACACUUAAUGAUUUAAUCAAAUCUCUACAGCAGUAACACCAUACUCAACAUCAUAAUCAAAUCUCUAUAGCAGCAGUACUAUACUUAACAUAAUAAACAAAAUUCAAAUCUCUACAACAUUAGCACAGAGAUGAAAAUAAAAUGACAAGGAGGGUGGGGCAUUCUAUUGCGCACAAAUCAAUAAUUAGAACUACUAUAUGCUCCUAUUAUCAUGAUGCUGACAACAAUAUCAUAAAUUAAUAAAAGGGAUCGAAGACUAACCCAAUGUUGGGUAGCAAAAUGGGCCCUUGAACUUCGUCUGAAUCCGCCACCACUGGAAGCGACCUUUAAACCCCGAUUAAAUGAAAAAUUGACUAUAAAAUUUCAACUUUUAUACUCAAAGUUAUAUUUUUUUACACCUUCAAGACUUGGUCCCUUUUGCUCUAUAAUGAACCAUAUAUAUAGAACGAGAUUGGGAAAAUUUUAUGCUAAUCUCGAUGUGGGAUAAGAGAAAUUUGGUGUAAUUUGCGAAAUUUUAAGGCAAAUAUUUUGAAACUUGAAAAAGGGAUAAUGGAAUAAGCUGAAAUCAUACCAAAAUAGUACAACAUUGAAAUAAAUUAUGUCGAGUUGUUAUUUACACGCAGAUUUGUUAAGAUUUGGGUCAAUUUUGGGUUAAAAUAGGACCUUGGUCGGUAUCGAAUUCCGCCACUGUCAGUGUUGGAACAGGUCACCGGGUUUGCUGACUGCUAUCAGUAUUUAAGGUUGUUAUUGGUUGCUAGUUCAUGGGUCGGGUUAUUGUUUCUGUCGUUUGAAAUUGUCACCGCAUUUGUUUGUUGUUCAUGGUGGAAAUAAGUGAGUGUUAUUGCGACUUUUCGUUAAAAGAAAAGGGGAUAGCAAAGGCGGGCGCCGGGGCAAAGGGAAUGUUAGGUUUAUUGAGAUGGCGAACUAGGCUGCUGAGUUGUUGGGUUAAUUGGUAAAACAAAAUGGCUAGGACGAUUUUGGGCUAAAAAUUGAGGUUAUUUUAAUAACGCCAAUUAUAUUUAAUUGGGAUUAAAAUAACCCCAAUUAGAUUUAAUUGGGUGAAAAUAAACUUAAUUAAAUUAGAAGCUUUAUAAUUUUUGGAAUUAUUUAGAAAAAAUAAUCUUAAUUCAAAUUUAGCCCAUUCUAUUUAAAUUUUAACCAAAUUGAAAGUUGAUUGGCCAAUUGCAUUGCAAUUAUAGCCAAUUUGAUUUCAGUUAUGGUCAAAUCUAAUAGAUUGGCUAAAUUAAAUUAAAAUUCAAUACAAAUUAAUAUUUCUUUUAAUCCUGAGCUUCUUGAUUUAGUAAAGUCAAACAAGUAUUUCUUCAAAUAAAUUAUUUGUAAGAUAAAUUAUAUUUAAAUCAAGAUUUUAAUUAUUGAAAUUUAUUUUCAAGAUAAUCCUUGAUUAAAAUCCGAUAUUCCAUAGAAUAAAUAUUUAAGUAAUCAAAUUAUAUAAUCUCGUAUAAUUGAACACGAUAAUAUGUUAUAGCUACUUAAAAUGAUAAAAUUGCGUACAAAAAAAUAUUUUGAAAAGUUUUUAUUCGGAUGAAAUAAAUAUUUUGAUUUUAUUAAAAACCAAAGAAACUUAGGAUUAAAUUUUGUCGUGAAGGGCAAAAAUUAGGUGUCAACAACUGCCUCCUCCCUUUAGGUAAGGUGGAUGGAAGUAACCCUGGCCAAAGGGAGGUUGAUAUUCCUAAUAUUUUGUCCGACCAAACAUUUGAAUUUGAAAGAGGUUGGUUUUCACAUGGGUUUCAUAGAUUUAUGGUCGGACCUUUAUCAGGUUUCCUACAUAUCUCAGGUUACAUGAGAAUUUAGGCCACUUGUAGUUCAAAAGCUUGAUUUAAUGUAUGAUUUUUGAAAAAUUCACUAGCUAUCUCAAUUUUUGGAGUUUUUGACAAAAUAGGAAAGAUAGAAAAUAAAGAGAUUUGUGGGGAGUUUGGAAUACAGUCGAGUUUUAAAAUAGAUCCCAACCUACAUAUCCCCGAGAAUAGAGAAAUUAGACUACUUGUAGUUCGACUCGAUCGGUAGAAAAUAGAUAGUUUGUUAUUUUAGAUGAUCUUUGGCUCAGGAUGAGUGAAAAGUUGAUCAAGUUGUGGAAAAAAGG